UUCACGCUCCCGCUGGCGUCUUCGAUGCCUUCCAAACACGUGUCCUGGUUAGUUAAUGCGGCGCUCAGCCAUGUCAGCACAUCGUCGGUGGUGGAGGAUCCGUCACCGUCUCUCUCAUCGUUGGUAGGUGCGACUGCGACGACGGAGGAGAGAGAGCGGGAGAGAGCGUCCAUGGAGUCGUCGAGGAGCUCAAGGCAAUCUUCGUAGGCGGCGCGGGCGCGGGUUCCGGCGGAGGCGGGGAAUGAGAGGCCGGAGGAGGUGUAGAGCGCCCUGCUGAUGUGGUGGUGGGUCAUGUUGAAGGAGAUGUGGACGAGGUCCUGCUCGGUGGCUGUGGUGGAGCCAGGGAAGUCGAGGAGAGAGUUGAUGCAGAGAGUGGGGAAUCGUGUCCUGCUGCAGGUUCGGGAGAUUGCCUGCGUCGGCUUUCCGCGGAGGUUUGAGUUUUCGCCGGCGGAGGAGCCUCCGCGGGAGCGGAUGACAGUGACUAGUACGGCGGAGACGACGGAGGCGACAAUCAAUAUGGCAGCGAGAACGGCAAGCAUGACGAGCUUCUUUUUAGUACUGCUUGAAUUUGGUGAAACCACCGUUGUUGAACCGGUAAGCGGAGCGGUGGAGCGGCGGGAGGAACCGCCGGGGUCUGUGGGUCCUAGUCUUGCCAAGUACUCGUCCAUUAUUGAUUGUGAAAAUAAGAGUGAGUGAGAAAUUAAGAGGUUGUUGUUUUGUUAGUUGUUGGUAUUGAAUAUGAGUAAGAAGAGAAUAAGCUUCAUAUAAAGGACGGUGCUAUGGAUUGGAUAGUGGAGAGAGAGUGAGAGGGUGAGUGAGUGAGUGAGUUUUUGAAGUAAAAUGAUGUAAAAAAUGGAAGGUUGGUGCGAAGUCUACAUCGCAGGAAUGAAUUGGCUGGAUACUACUCCCAUUGCCCACUCAGCUCAGAAUAGAUCAGUGGGGAUGUUUUUUUAUGCCUAUUGUCUCAUUCUUAAUCUGCAUAUGUGUUUUUAUUUUAUAUGCCUAUCAUUGUAAUUGAGUAAUAAAACGUAUAAAAUGAGUGAUGUAUGUUUGUGUAGAAAUAUUUGUUGGGAGGAUUAACUAAUGACCACCGUCACAGUAACUUUGAAUAUACCUUAUGGGAAAAAAUUCUCAAGAUUGAUUUAAUGUUAUUUAGGUCAGUGACCACUAUAAAUUAUAAUCCUUUUGUGAAAUUAUUCUUUUUAAUAUUUUGUCUAAUUAGCACUUUGUCACUUUUAGCAAAAGACCCUUGUACCCAAAAAAAAAAAAGCAAAAGACUUCUCAAGUUAGUGGAGAUUUGGAACCUCUUAACAAGUUAGUUGUCUUUGUCUUUUUUCUUUUCUUUUCAUUUCAGGUCAAGCAAAUUGUAUCAAGGAAUUAUGAGAGAUACUUCAACCCACAAAGAGAAAACAAAGAAGAGGGGAGGACAAAGUAAAGAAAAAUCAUGUAAUGCCUGCAAGAACAAAGUUAGUUGUCAUGUCUUCAAUAUGCAUGUGAGAUUUCCGAUGUUGAUUUUAUAUGGUUUAUAUUGGGUACUAGCACCAAUUUUCUCUUUUAUUAUUCUAACUCUAUUUUUAGUAAGUUAUUUUCUUUUUUAAAUUUGAUUCUCUCUCACUAGUAAAAAUAAAAUAAAGUAGGAGCCCUGAAUGAUAGCUCAAGUGGUAAGAAAUUUGAGACAUAUGUAAUAGGUGGGAGAGAUUCAGUUAUCUUUUCAAUGUAACAAAAAAAUUACGGUAUGAGUCAAGCAUUAAUUAGUGUUUUAAAAAACAAAAAUGUUUUCUUCACACUCCACACACAUCCAACUUUAGAGAGAGAAAGGAAUAAAAGAGAGAGAAGUGAGAGAUAUGAUUAGUGAAAUAAUAAAGAGAGAAAUAAGAAAAAAAAAAGUGGAAGAGAAAUAGAGGUGUGUAUAUGACAUAACUCAAAAACUUUAAAAAAAUUUGAAACUCAAUCGUGGGCGAUUAACAAAUAGACAAUAAACAAGUGUAAAAUACAAGGGAGGGUGGGUUUUAUAAAAAUAGAUGGCCUAAGAAUAAAGAAACUUUUUAAAAGUUCAAACUUUACUAAAUGGUAUGAAAAGGGACAUACAUGCAUGAGUUUCUUAACUCUUAAGCUAUAGCUCGAGAUCGUCCAAUUUCUAAUAUGUAAUUCAAAUAUUCUCUCACCUUUCUACUAUAAUCAUAUUUCAAAAAGUUCCCCCUUUCUCCUAUUCUACUCUUCCUAAAUUAACCUUAGUAUCCGCUCUCGUUUUAGACUUUAUUGAUUAAUUUGAUACAUUUUGAAAGGAAGAAAUUCCAACUUUGAACUAAUCAGAAACCUAAAGAAAACUAAUGGGUUAAAUAUAUUCGAGGUCCCUGAACUAUAGCAAAAAAUUGAUCUUCGUUUCUCAAUUAAAUUUUCGUUGCUUUCCAUCCUUUAACUUAUAAAACCGUUUGGCUUUCAUCCCUUUACCGGUUCCCCUGCUUACUUGGCAUGCCAACUUGCACGUAAGUGCUGACAUGUCAAAUAUUUCAAAACAAAAAUUCUACCUGGGUUAAAUAUGUUCGAGGUCCCUAGAAUAUAACUGUCUGUUUGUGCUCUACAUAAGAUUUUGUGAGUCACUGUUUUGGCUGCCACAUUUAAUGGACAAGUGUUUUUUUUCCCACCGAGAGAGAUUGUUUGGUGCAAUGCAUUGUAUUUUGGGGUUAAUUAAGUUUUUAUCCCUCUAAAUAAUGAGCAGGGUUCAAUUUUAGCCGCUCUGUAACAAAGUUGCAAUUUUUUUUGGUGUGUUUAGGGAAAUAUCUCAGCUUAGUCCACACAUUAGAAAGAGUUCUGGUGACCUUGUUCAUGUGUGUGAUCAAACCCUAUGUGGUACCUAAAAGGAUGACGGUUGGGUCAAGCUCGGAUUUUGUCUUGCUCAAACCCAAAUCCAAACUUUUACACCAGAAUCCAAACCAAAUGGGUCUGAAAAAGCAAACUCAUCCUCAAAGCUGUUGGGUUUUGGAUUUAUCUGAACCUAUUGCAGCCUCAGACUCAUGUCCCAACCAGUGUUUUAAAACUCGUCUCGGUCAUCGACUCGGUGGGGGUACCGAGUUAAUGGGUCACUGGUCGGACCAGUGAGUCACUGAGUCACUGGGUCGAAUGCUUGACUCGGUGCACAUUAAAAAAUUAUUAAAAAUCCCUGCACUGUGAAGUUAAGUUAUAAAUAAUUGAAAACGUGACAAUUUAACCAAAUAACUCUAUGGUAUAGUGGUAAAUGCUUUGCUAUAUUACCUUCAGGUUCCGUUUUCAAAUCCCAUUGGCACCACUUUUUAAUAUAAUUACACAUUUUUGUCUACUCUAAUCAAACUGUUGUUGUCAUAAUAUGGGAAAAAAAAAUGAAAGGCCCACUCCAAUCAAGCUGUUGUAAAAAAAAAACGCAAGGCCCACUGUAAUCAAACUAAUGUGUGCAGAGUUUAGAAAAAAACCGCAAGGCCCAUUAACAGAAUGAAAAAGAAAAUAAUUAAAAAAAAUAAAAUGGGUGACUCGCCGGUCUGAUAAAAAAUCAACCGAGUCACCGAGUUUACCAUUGAACCGGCCGGUUCAAACCGGUUCAUACCGAGCUGCUUGCACAACCGAUCCGUUCAGAGGCUCGGACCGAUCAGGUCAUCGAGUCCCAAUCCAACCGGUCGGACCGGCCGGUCCGAGCCGAGUUUUAAAACAAUGGUCCCAACCUUACUGGAUGCAUAUGUUUUUUUGCAAAAUAAAAACACAAUUUAUGUCAUUUUGUUGUGAAAAAACUGUUUUAUAUUAUUCUUUACAAAAACACACGGGACUUUACUGUUUAAAUAUGACUGAAUUGUUGACACAUUAAAAAAUAAAAUCUACUCAAUUUUGUAUAUAGAAAAUAGAACAAAGCAACACUCAACUAAUUACCAUAAUAUGUUUUAAAUUGGACAACCAUCAUUCGUUGAUUGCAAGAACAUGUCUAACUUAUUUUGAGGGAUGAUAAGUUAGAUAUGUACUAAUUUUUUUCUAUAGAAUUUGGAACCAUAACUUAAUUUAUAGAAUUUAAGUAAAUAUGUCCUAAAAAAUUAAGAUAUGACGAAAAUAUAAGUGAAAAUGAGAUAUAUGACAAAAUAGAAUGUGAAUGAAUUAAAAAUCAUUAUUUAAUAUUUAAGGUGAGUUAGGCAAUUGUGUUUGACUUUUAGCGAUUACGAUCGAUAGUCGUCGUGAAGGAAUCUUAGGACGAAAUUGAAGUAGACAUUAAAUUCAUAUACAAGUAAUGACAAUGAUACAUAGAUCACUCAUAGUGCAUACAUCUUGUAACACAUUUUUAUCUAUCUUUAUCUUUGGACUGGGCGGGACAUAAAGAAGAUUAUGUCCCGCCCAAAAUGAACAAAUAACCAUUGAAGAUAGCCAUGGCGGGAAAGGCGACACGACGAGCUUCAUUGCCCCCCCUUAGAUGAUGGACCCACAAGCCAGCUGGAAGAUUCCUUUGGAUUUGUCUUAUAUGUACCGGGAUUUGGGCCCUGAUUGUCAGGCCCAAAUAUAGGAAAGAUCCAUAUCAUGACCACCCCCUCUAUAAAAGGGGAGGUCACCCACUUGUACAAAACCAACUUUUUCAGCAUUAAUGAGAAUAUUCCUUUUAUGGUAGUUUUGCUAUUUUAGUGCUCUGCUAGGGUUUACUUUUUGUCUUUCUCUUACGUAAGCUUGCCCUAGUACAGAACAUUGGCGCCGUCUGUGGCUCUGACUUAGCUCUUCCGGUGACAGAAGGAGGAAUCGCGAACCAUGGAGACUCGUUCAUGCGGCGUAGGUCGACGCGAUCAUCGCCGGCGCGGUGGUGGUCGACACGGCGGUCGCGCCGGCGGACGAAACAACAACCGUCCCGUACUGGACGAGCAAGAGCAGGAAGCUUCCUCGGAGGGGGUCCACUCAGUGGCGCCGUCGCCAGCGUCAUUGGUGAAUGCAGCUCCGGGAAGACCUUCAGAUCUGAUCGCUAAAUCAGAUCCAGGUGUUCGGCGGCGUUCAACGCCGCCUGACUACGUGAAUUUGGAAGAUCUUAAAACCACUGCUCCACGGAGAGCGCAAGAGGCAGUGACAGGUAUCACGCCUGCGGCUUUGCAACAAAUGUUAGAUACCUUGCAGAAGGUGCAGUCCUAAAACGAGCAGUUGCAAGCCCAAGUUGAGUAUCUUACUCAGCGGCAGGAUUUUAAGCAAGAACAACGCCUGGAGGCGGAGGAUGUAGUUGAAUUCCAACCUUUUGUUCCAGCCAUCACUAGGGUGGACAUUCCAAAGCACCUGCAAACCAUGGCAUUAGACGCCUUUUCGGGCGAAUCUGAUCCUAUGGAGCAUCUUAGAUACUUCAAUACCAAAAUGGUGAUCGGCGGGGCGACGGAUGCGGUAAAAUGUCGAUUAUUGCCUUCCAUGUUCAAGGGCAUGGCGAUGCAGUGGUUCAUUCGACAACCGCCCUUCUCCAUUGAUAAUUUCACUGAUCUGUCCACUAAGUUUCUGACUCAAUUUUCCGCCAAUAAAACCACAAAAGCAACAAUGUUUGAUCUUAUCAGCAUACAUCAGCAACCAGGCGAGAAAUUAAAAACCUACAUGGCACGCUUCAGCAAGAUGGCGGUGCAGUUGGAGGAUGAAAAUCCAGAUGUCUGUUUGGCGUCAUUCAAAAAUGGCCUUCGGGCGGGAGAUUAAAAUAGAGACUUAACAAGGCGACCGGCGAAGGAUAUGAUGGAUCUUCGCGCUCGUGUUCAAGAGUUCAUAUUGAUCGAGCAAGAUGAUCAGAAGAAACAAGAAAGAGAGGAAGGACGCAAGCAGUCUCAAUCUGGCGGUGUUUCACAGGACAAAUCUAAGGCGGGGAAGGAAACCAGGAUAGCGCAAACCCCCCGUGUACCAAGACCGGGACCAUACCAAAACUCUAAACCUGGCUUUCAAAAUACAUGGCACAGAAAUUCACAAGGUCCCACUGCUGCCACAGCUGGUCAGCCUGGUGCUUCGCCAACGCCAGUCCCACUUACUAAGUUGAAUGCACCCUUAAGUACCAUUUUAAGGGCGGUUGGACAGACCAACGUUGUGCAGUACCCACCACCCCCACGGCGGCCGCCAGCUAACGUGGACACCAAUAGGUGGUGCGAGUACCACAAGGCGUUGGGGCAUACGACAGAUAAUUGCUGGAAUUUAAGGCGGGAAAUUGAUCGCUUGAUUAAAGCUGGCCAUUUGGCAAACUUUGUUAAAGACACAGCAGCGCCGGAGGUAGCUAAAAUCACUCAAGGGGACAAAGGCAAAGGUAAAGAGAUAGUUGAAGAGUUGGGCGAUCCUGUUGGGGAAUGCUCAUCUAUUGCAGGAGGAUUUGGCGAGGGUGCAAUUUCAAGUAAGGCUAGAAAACGCUACGUGGCGGCAGUACACUCAGUACAGGAGUCGAACGAAGGCGAGUGUUGGGUGAAUCAUUCCCCUAUUAUAUUUACCCCUCAGGAUUUCGCGCAUGUAAUUCCCCAUGACAACGAUCAAAUUGUGGUAACAAUUAGGGUUAACAAUUAUGUGACAAAGAAAGUAUUCUUAGACCAGGGAUCUUCGGCGGAUAUCAUCUAUGGAGACGCCUUUGAUCGCCUGGGACUAAAGGAAUCAGAUUUGAAACCAUACAGGGGAACUUUGGUGGGAUUCACAGGAGACCGUGUCAGUGUGCGGGGAUACGUCGAAAUUCCGACUGCCUUUGGAGAAGGAGAGUUUGUCAAGAAGUUUCAAGUAAAGUACUUAGUAUUGGCGUGUAGAGCCAAUUACAACGUACUCUUGGGGCGAGACACCCUCAACAAGGUCUGCGCGGUCAUCUCAACUGCUCAUUUAACUGUUAAAUAUCCCGCCUGCAACGGGAAGGUUGGGAUAUUGCGUGUAGACCAGAAUGCAGCAAGGGAAUGCUAUUUGAGAAGCGUGGCGCUCUAUGGGCGGAAGGCCGCCAAGGAGAGCCAUCGAAUUACAGAAAUCUUCCCACAAGAAGGAUUUAGCUUGGACCCAAGAGAUGAUGCUGAUGAUUUUCGCCCACAACCGCUGGAAGAAACCAAGCAGGUGCAAGUCAAGGACAAGUUUCUAAAGAUUUGCAGUGGUUUGACAACAGAACAAGAGGACAGACUAAUCACCCUUCUGGGUGAUAAUCUAGAUCUCUUCGCAUGGACCAUCAAUGAUGUACCAGGGAUUGAUCCCAAGGUGAUCACUCACAAACUAGUCAUACGACCAGGGGCGACCCCGGUCAUCCAACCAAGGCGAAGAAUGAGUGAAGAAAAGAACAAGGCUGUACAAUUAGAGACUGAAAAAUUGAUCAAGGCCCGCUUCAUCCGUGAGGUACAGUACCCAACGUGGCUCGCCAAUGUUGUAAUGGUCAAGAAGGCCAAUGGGAAAUGGCGAAUGUGCACGGACUACACGAGCCUGAACAAAGUGUGUCCCAAAGAUUCGUACCCACUUCCCAAUGUUGAUAAGCUUGUGGAUGGAGCUUCAGGGAAUGAACUUUUAAGUCUCAUGGACGCUUAUUCGGGCUAUAAUCAGAUUAUGAUGCAUCCCUCGGAUGAGGAAAGUACAGCAUUUAUGACCAAUCAGGCGAACUAUUGUUACAAGACAAUGCCUUUUGGUUUGAAGAAUGCAGGAGCUACGUACCAACGGCUCAUGGACAAAAUUUUUUCAAAGCAAGUAGGCAGGAAUAUGGAGGUGUAUGUGGAUGACAUGAUUGUAAAAUCCGCCAGGGCUAGUGAUCAUGGUGGCGACCUUAAAGAAGCGUUUGAUCAGUUAAGAACAUAUCAAAUGAAGUUGAAUCCUGAGAAGUGUUCUUUUGGGAUCCAGGGAGGAAAGUUCUUAGGAUUUAUGUUAACAUCAAGAGGAAUAGAAGUGAACCCAGAUAAGGGAAGGGCGAUCUUGGAGAUGAAAAGCCCAACAAGUGUAAAGGAGGUUCAGCGUUUGACAGGGCGAAUGGCCGCCUUGUCACGUUUCUUGCCAAUGGCGGGUGACAAAGCGGCCCCGUUCUUCACAUGUUUAAAAAAGAAUUCAAAGUUUCAGUGGACAGAGGAAUGCGAACAAGCUUUUACCAAAUUGAAAGAAACAUUGGCCACAUUACCGGUACUCUCCAAGCCAACACCAGGCGUUCCAUUAGUGCUCUAUUUGGCGGUUACUGACAAGGCGGUAAGUACGGUUUUGCUCCAGGAAGAAGGAAAAAAGCAGAAAGUUAUAUAUUUCGUGAGCCAUACUUUACAGGGGGCAGAAUUGCGGUACCAAAAAAUUGAAAAGGCGGCUUUGGCGAUUCUGAAAACUGCAAGGCGCCUCAGACCUUACUUCCAAAGUUUCCAAGUCAAAGUUAAAACUGAUGUUCCCUUAAGGCAAGUACUUCAGAAGCCUGAUUUAUCAGGGCGAUUGGUUAGCUGGUCAGUUGAGCUAUCAGAGUAUGACAUACAAUAUGAGCCAAGGGGCCAAGUCACAGUCCAGAGUUUAAUUGACUUCGUGGCGGAAUUAACACCCACUGAAGGAGAGAAGACUCAAGGAGAAUGGGUCCUGUCUGUGGAUGGAUCCUCUAAUAACACUGGAAGUGGGGCGGGAAUAACAAUCGAAAGUCCAGAUAAAAUGAUCAUUGAACAGUCUCUCAAGUUCGAGUUCAAGGCGAGCAAUAAUCAAUCUGAGUACGAGGCUCUGAUUGCCGGCUUAAGGUUGGCCAUUGAGUUGGGAGUCCAGAAGUUAUUUAUCAAAGGAGAUUCGCAGUUAGUGGUUAAACAAGUGAAAGGCGAGUACCAGGUGAAGGAUCCGCAACUGUCCAAAUAUUUGGAAGUGGUGCGCAGAUUGAUGAUGGAGGUCAAAGAAAUCAAAAUAGAACAUGUCCCGAGGGGACAAAAUGAGAGGGCUGAUGUGUUGGCGAAGUUGGCAAGCACAGGGAGAUUGGGCAACUACCAGACAGUCAUUCAAGAAACCCUGCCUCGCCCGAGCAUUGAUUUGGUAGAAAUAAAGUUGAAAGCUGUAAAGUCAGUCAGUGAGGGCGAGAUAUCUUGGAUGGAAUCGAUUAAUACCUUCUUAGAGAACCCACCAAAGGAGGAUGAUUUGAACACGAGAACAAAACGCAGGGAAGCCAGUUUCUACACACUGGUGGGUGGUGAGUUGUAUCGGCGAGGAAUCAUGUCUCCUAUGCUCAAAUGUGUCGAUAUCAAGGACGCCCUCGGAAUAAUGGCGGAAAUCCACGAAGGUGUGUGUUCUAGUCAUAUCGGCGGGCGAUCCUUGGCAGUUAAGGUGAUAAGAGCAGGAUUCUAUUGGCCAACGAUGAAGAAGGAUUGUUUGGAGUAUGUUAAGAAAUGUGAAAAAUGUCAAGUCUUUUCUGACCUACACAAGGCUCCACCAGAAGAAUUAACAACCAUGAUGGCGCCUUGGCCGUUCGCCAUGUGGGGGACUGAUAUCUUAGGACCAUUCCCUGUGGCGAAGGCACAAAUGAAGUACAUCAUCGUGGCGGUUGAUUACUUCACUAAGUGGAUAGAAGCUGAGGCAGUGGCAACUAUCACGGCCGCCAAGGUCAGGAGCUUCUUGUGGCGAAGGAUUGUUUGUAGAUUUGGGGUCCCCAGGGCAUUAGUAAUGGAUAAUGGAACACAAUUCACAAGUAGUGUUACCCGAGAAUUUUGUACAGAAAUGGGAAUCGAGAUGCGAUUUGCCUCUGUAGAACAUCCACAGACCAAUGGGCAGGCUGAAUCGGCUAACAAAGUUAUCCUGAAAGGUUUAAAGAAGAAACUGGAUGAAGCAAAAGGGCUUUGGGCGGAGGAACUACCAGGCGUUCUUUGGGCAUACAACACCACGGAACAGUCAAGCACAAAGGAAACCCCGUAUCGUCUAACUUAUGGAACUGACGCCAUGCUCCCAGUGGAAAUUGAAAACCAAAGUUGGCGAGUGGCUCGGUUCAAUGAAAAUGACAACGGAGAAAACUUAAUAGCAAAUCUAAUCAUGCUGCCCGAGGAACAACGAGAGGCCCACAUAAGAAAUGAGGCGGGAAAAGUGAAGGUGGCAAGAAAGUUCUCAACAAAAGUGGUGCCAAGAAAAAUGAGGGUAGGAGACUUAGUGCUCCGAAAAAAUACAAUACCCGAUAAACACAACAAACUUUCACCCAACUGGGGCGGGCCUUACAGGAUUAUUGGCGAUGUUGGAGGAGGAGCUUAUAAGUUGGAACAACUAAGCGGUCAAAAGGUUCCACGAACAUGGAACGCCUCUCAUCUAAAGCAGUAUUUUAGUUAGUAGAAACAACAAAUGUAAAUGAAGUCGCACUCUUUUUCCCUUUCUUUGGAAAGGUUUUUAAUGAGGCGACAAUUGUAAUGAAGGGACAAUUGUUCCCAUACGAAAGAAAAUUAAUGAAAAGAUCAUUUCAACAGAAUCGUAUAUAUUUUUUGAAUUUUUAUUACGAGUUCAUGCAAUGCAAAUCGUAUCAAGGUAUGCAAUACCGCGAGUAAACCUUUCGGAAUAAGAAAGUAUCGCCUUCAAAAGUUAAAAGCCUUGGCAAUUCUAGUGGCCACUAGAAACCAAGCCUCGUCGAAAAAUCGGCUAAGGUAUGUAAACCAAAAUAACAACGAAAGUUGGACACAACUAAAACAACGAAUGAACUUAAAAUGAUAUCCAUUUAAAGUAGGGAAAAGAGGGCGACGCCCAUACAUGAUUUGGAAUGAAAAUAAAAGACAGGGCAAUGCCCAAAGAAAAAUUUCAACUUCAUAAAAUAAAAACAAAUUCAAGCCAGGUUCUCGUUGUUGGCGUUGUUGCCCUGGCUUGUCCCAGCUUUGGGAUCUUCCUUCUCUUGAUCCUCAUUCCUGUGCUGCUCAUUCCCAUCCUCGCCAUCUUCUUCAGGCUCACUCUCAUCAUCGAAUUGGGGAAGGAGGUCGAGGCUAAUGUCAUCAUCACCAACUACUUGACCAUCCUUGAUCUCCUUCAGCCACCCAAUGCGGGAAAGAUCAAAGCCCGGCUCAACUAUACUGAUCUGCUCUUUGGCCGCCAGAAAGCCUUGAGCAUAUUGGAGAGAAGCACGCCCUAAGAUGGAAGCAUUCAGGCGAUCAUAUUUCUUUUCCAACUUCUGAUAUUUGGCUUGAACGGCAGUGUGCUUGUCAUUUAUGGUUUCUUUAAGCGACUUGGUCUUUUGAAGAAGCAGGUCCGAAGCAGCCAAGUCUUCCGUUAACUUAGCACACUUCUCCUCAACAGAUUUCAGCUUUUUGUUGGCAGUCUCAGCAUCAGAUUUAGCCCGCUCAUAGGCUGUCUUGUAAUCAGCUGCCUUCUUCUCAAAACGGUUCUUGGCUGAGAUCAACUCCUUCACGCACUGAGCCAUCCCCGCCACAGUACUGGCGGCAGAAAGCGCGUGAUGGAUCGCCAUGGAAGCAAUGUUGGGGGGACCUUGACCGGAAAUUUCCUUGUGAAUCCGGUUGUCAAAAGUACGGGUCAUGAAUUCCAGCCCAUUGAAGUGAGGAUCCGACAAGUUCAGCAAGGGGGGAGGAGCCUCGCCACCAAUGGCUGAACUAGGGCCAGCCUGGCCAAAUGGAGUUGAUGGGCGGUUGAUCAGCGAGCUUGAAUCUUGUUGAGGGGGCGGGACAUUGUCAUGUCCCUUCUUUUUCUCAGCUGGAUGACUUUUUGAAUCAAGAGUCGAUUGGUGGAGAGGCUUACCACCAGUAGCACCUGAAGUUUUUUUACGUUUAGGGUCCCUGACGUUGUCAGAACCCGAGGUACCUUCAUUCUUCUUCUUCUGCUCAGUUUCGGCGGCCCUCUUCUUCGCCGCCGCAGCAGACUGGGCGAGGUACUCCUUCAUCUUGAGUGGGUUCGCGUCAACCUUGCCUUUUCCCAUCGUAGCUGUACGGAAAACACCAAUUAGACGAGAUACAUGAACAAAAAGAAAAAGAAGUUACGUACAAAGAUUAUAAACUUACUAAAAAAUUGAUUUAAAGUGCCGGAUUUCGACGCCUCAAUCAAGUCGUGACCGGAAAUUACUGGUAGUGUGCGGAGGUAAUCGGCGACGCCUUGUUCAGAUUCAUCCAAGGCGUCGUAUGAAACGGAUAUUUUUCGGCGAGGGUUCUUUGUCCAGUAAAAAGGGAAGAGAGGGUUAUUGUCAGAAUCUCGGAACAAGUUCUUUAUUUCGGGCGACUCCACAACUUUAAAGUAUUUCUUCUGCCAUACUUUGUAAUGGCUUUUAAGGGCGGUGAACCGACUCAUGUUCUUACGGGCUAAUAGUGGAACCCAUUUCACAGAAGUAGGUUUAGUGGUGACUGAUUUAUAGAAAAGGAAGAACAAAGGAUAGGUUGGAGUGAAACUCAAGUGUUCACAAAGAAUUUCAAAGCAGCGGAGAAAACCCCAGGCGUUGGGCUGGAGUUGGCAAGGCGCCACAUUCAGAAAAGAAAGAACGUGACAUAUAAACGGCGAGAAAGGAAGUUUGAUGUUCAAGUCUAAGAAGAAAUAGCCAUAAACAAAGAAAAAAUCGGGCGAUUCAUCGGCUGGUUCUUUACGCAACAGAACACAGUCAUCUUCGCCACAUGGGAGGGCAUUCAACAGAUGAUCUUCAUUAUUCGAGGUGGCGGGAUCUAUCUUCGUGAACCCUUGAGCAGAAAUUCGAAGCGAACUAAUGCUCCCAACGCUGCUCCAGAUAGAAUGCAACAGACAUUUAUCUUCAACUAAAUGCACGUCAGAGCGCCAUUCAGGUGAAGACAAAUCUCCAUUAGAGGAGAGAAUUGAGUCUACAGAGCCGGCGGGACCGGAAUCAUCAUGGGUAGAAGGCGAGGAAUGAAUUUCAAUUAUAGAGGGGGCGGCAACUUCCUCCUCCGUGGAGGGUGAAGAAAGUUCUAGGGAAGAAAGGCUAGCGUUUGGUAAAGACAUGCGAGGCAGUUUCAUAAAAAAAGAAAGAAGACGAACAAAUUAAAAGUAAAAAGAAGAUGAACAGAGUCAAAAGAAGAAAGAAGAUGAACAGAGUCAGAGAAAAAAGAAGUAAACGAAGAAUCUCAGGAAAGAGAAAAACUAACCAGGGGAAGAACUGUGGAUUUGAGAAAGGAGAACGUCGGAGAUAGGGGAGCACCGCGCAAUGACGACGGCCGGAGGAAGAAAAGGUUCACCGGAGUUCAAAAGAGGGAAUGAAAGCUGCGGUGAAAAGGUUUUCAGAACAAAGGUUUUAAGAAAGUGAAAAAAUGAAAAGUGAAAAGGGGUUUUUAUAGAGAGAAAGGAGGAGAGAGAGAAUGAAUGGGGGAAGAUCGUGGGAUCGUGGGAUUUGAAAUUCGAAAAGGUAGGAAGCGAAAAGACAUUACUCCUCGAGACGCACAACUGAAAAUUGCAUUUAUAACAAAUGAUGACGAAAUCCCGGAAAAUAAGGAUACGUGCGUCAGUUGAAAAGACGUGAUUGACGGUUAUAACUAAUGGCGACAUAUCUUUGAAACGGCAACAAAGGUGGCGAAGCGUGAAAAUGGCGAUGAAACAACGAAAGUAAAAUGGCGAUGAACGAAUAAACAAUAGAGGCGAACUAUUGGGUAACAUGAUGAAGACACUUCGACUCAAUUACUCGAGUCUCAUGUCUUGGGGGCAUGUGGACUGGGCGGGACAUAAAGAAGAUUAUGUCCCGCCCAAAAUGAACAAAUAACCAUUGAAGAUAGCCAUGGCGGGAAAGGCGACACGACGAGCUUCAUUGCCCCCCCUUAGAUGAUGGACCCACAAGCCAGCUGGAAGAUUCCUUUGGAUUUGUCUUAUAUGUACCGGGAUUUGGGCCCUGAUUGUCAGGCCCAAAUAUAGGAAAGAUCCAUAUCAUGACCACCCCCUCUAUAAAAGGGGAGGUCACCCACUUGUACAAAACCAACUUUUUCAGCAUUAAUGAGAAUAUUCCUUUUAUGGUAGUUUUGCUAUUUUAGUGCUCUGCUAGGGUUUACUUUUUGUCUUUCUCUUACGUAAGCUUGCCCUAGUACAGAACAAUCUUUUAAUCACAUUAUAUCAUAUAUUAGAUCUAUCACUUAUGUUUCAUCUCUUUCUAUAUAUCUCUCAUCAUAUGUCAUAUGGUAAGAUACAUACAUCCACAAGAAAAUAAUGCACCAGUGAAUGGCCUCAUUUGAAAAAUGACUAUGUAUUCACUUUGCAUUUGUUCAAAGCAUGUAGCUUCUCAUACAGAUUAAUCUCCCUUUGAUGGAUUCUCCCACUGAACAAGUUCCCUGAUUGCUUCUUCAAUUUCCAUUGUCUCUCUUAGAAGAAUACUCAAGCAAAACCCCAGAGCACUCAAACACAGAUAAACAUCGCUCAUCACCUCCUUUUCACCUUCACCACCAUACAACUCAUCCACAACAUUUCUUGAGCAUUGGAGAUAAGAGCCUAUGACUUCUUCAGCAACAUCACCAUGGCCUAAACCAGAAGAAAACAUGCAUAUACCAGACUUUGCUGACCUUCCCAUUUCAAUGUCACAAUUACAAGUAAUGCUGUUCUUCUCAAGCUCCUUCUCAAGAAACCCAAACGAUUUCAUCCUUGUUAUUUGCUCAAAAACUUUAACUUUGGAGGAAACAUGUUCCUUAAAGUAUCCAAUUUCACCUUCUAGAACACUCACAUGCUCUCUCCAAGAGGCUUCACUUCUUCGAAACUCAUGUUUUAGGAACUUCAAAGCAUAAGCUCCAACUUGCAAUGUGUUAUCCAAAAUGGAUAAAGACCCCAUAAGCUUAUUAUAACAAGCACCAUGAAAAGGUAAGAACCAAAAACAGGGCUCCAACUCUGCUUCCACAACAAAUUUUUUGAGCUCCAUAAUUUGUAUCUUUAACUUCCCAUGACUUUCUUCUAAGUCACUUUUGCUUGCUAGACUCAAGGAAUUAAUGGACUCAACAAGGGUUCCCAAACAAAAAGAAAGCUCAGAUUUCGCACAAGUAGAAGCUCUUUUGGGCAUGAAGAGAAGGUGCACCAAAACAGAACAAGUUAACCCAAUGAAGGUUUCAAUGAUUCUUGCUAUAGCAAAUUCACUGGGUGGCCCAAAAUUUUUCCUACCCAAUAUCAGAAUAGCUCCAAUCUGUGCUGACAUCCCACCAGCUGCACCAUACAUUUUGCUUUGUUGAAGCACAGUGGUGAAAAUGAGCCAUGGAAUAAGAAACAUGAAUCUCAGUGACAAAAAUUUCUCAAAGACAAAACAGCAUAAGGCUCCAUAUACUGUUCCUAACACAGUUCCUUGGGCUUUUAUAUUUGCUACUCUGAAUGUGGCUUCUCUGCCCGGGCAAAAGGUCACGGCUACAGGUAUUGCGGCCCAAAACCCAUUCUCUUUGCUGUAGAGUAAGCCCAGCAACACUGCAAGGCCCAGUGUUAGAGAGCAUUUCAUUGAUUCCAUUAGUUUUGGGCUUGUUAAAAGUUUAGCCCAAUUUUGAGACUCUAUAGAGUUUUCCUCUUUUUCUUGAAUACUAGUUGAAGCUUCAGCAUAUGAGAUCCUUUGGAGGAUUUUGGCACAAAAUAAGUAGAAGUAAAAGGGUAAAUCUUGGGUUGUUGGGAUGGUUUGAAGGGAUUGGAGAAAGUUAGUUAUGUUUUUUUCACUAUGUUCAGGAGCAGUUAGUGAAGCACCAUGUGAAUUGUGUGUGGUUUGUUUUAUGGUGAGGCUAACAUGUUUCACUAGACUAUUCAGGCCAUGUUUCAUGUCUUCAUUGAGUAUGCUGACAGGAAAUGAAAUGAUGCUUGUUAGAGCCAAUUCCAUCCCUUUGAUGGUGGUAUCUAUAUCUUGAAGUCUCUGGUCUUCCGGGUUGAAGUGAUAGGAUUUAAAAGAUUUAAUUGGAGGUAUUUCCCACCUCAUGCCAUUCUGUUCAAGGGGAAACAAAAAGAUGAGUUAAACAUUGAAACAAAGGUUGUAUUUUUAAUUACUUUGCUCAUUGUAGCAAUGAAGAAAACAUAUUGGGUAGGGGUGUAAAUGGUGAUAUGAGUGAUGGCAUCUAUGAUACUAUGAUGUGUUAUAUCAAUUGAGUGCGUGGGGAUUACUUGGUGGUUUGUGAGGAUUUGGAGGAGUUUGUUCCGUGAAGUGGCCAAUGACUUAGCAUGGGAGAUUGAUGUGAGUGCCAAAUCCUUUUUCUGUUCACAUAUUGCCUUCAUCAAAAGCUUUAGCCUUUUUGAAGUAUUAUUUGUUAGUAGCCUGUAAUUCUUUUUCACCUGCACCAAAUCAGAAACAAAAUUCAAUCCAUUUCAAGAUUUUAUUUUAAUUCAUUCAUCUCCAAUGCUAUAUGCUAUGAAAGAAGGUGGAAUCAAGAAGGUAAGAGAUACUGAUAUCACUCACAACUUUAACAUUUUGUAUUUUACAUUAUUUGAGAAAAAACACAGGAUUUUAGUAUUUUCCUAACAGAGAUAGUGGGUGAUAAUUAUGUUUCUGGUUCUAACAUUUGGUACUUCCCUUCAUUCACACUUUUUUGUAUUGUUUAAAUCACCCGAAGUUCACGUUGGGUAAAUUUAACCUAGGUGACUUAAUAUUUGUUAGAUAAUUAUGUUGAAUGUUACACAAUAUUUACUUUAAGUAAUUUAAACAACCUCAUUUUUACUAAUUUUUCGCUCACUUUUCUCUUUUUAUUUCUAUUCUAUUUUUUUUGACACCACUCUUCAUAUUUUUUAUUUCGAAAAAGAUUAGUAAACCGCAAAAAGUUGUGACACCAAAUCUACAUUGUGACAGUCACAAUAAAAAAUUGGAAAAUAAAAUAAAAAUAGAAUUUGUCUCCUCUAGAAUAAGAGAGACAUUUUAAAAUGUAAAGUAAGUCAUCACAAUCAUUAGUAAUUAUUAGUUUUUUUGAAAAGUCAAUAAAACCAUUCAAAGUGAAUCUCUCACUCUAAAGGAGUUGAACCCAAAAACAUAACUCCCAGUGUUGCUUGUUUGAAACACUCAUAAAUUUCAUGUACAUAAGCUUGCCCGGUUUUUUUUUUCUAAGAAAAAAUUGUUUAACAGAUAUAAAACACCUUCACACUAUUGAUAGCUGUCACGUACAAACCGCUUAUACGUAUCAUUACUCCAUAUUUUCUCACUAUAUUUUAUUUCUCUAUGUAAGUUUGGUUGUAUUUGGGUGUCACCUCAUCCAUACUUUUUGGUUUGAGUUAUGAAAUUUUUCAUAAGGAGAGAGAUCCAAAUUCUGCAUUUCUACCUGAUGAUAAGCAAGACGUGGAUAUGGAAACAACAUUGCCAGAACACAAGCCAAGACUCCAAGGGCAGUGCUAGCUGCGACCCGAAGAGGGUGCAUGAGAAGUUCCCUACGAACUUCCUCUCUCACGUAAGCAACAACAUACAACACCACUAUCUGACCCAACGCUAACCGUUUAGCCAUCAAGUGGGUGGUGGACUCCGCCGGGAGCACCACCACGAACGCGGCGAGCGCCACCGCAAAAACUGUGGUUCCCUCGGAGAAGAACUUGGCUGCAGGGCCAAUGCACCAGAAACUUAACAUGGCGGGGACAGUGCUCUGAAUGGUGGCGCAGAGCGCGAGCCAGCAACCGCGAAGAGUCUCUCCGAGAGUGGCGUCUCUGAUGAUGAGGAUGGCGGUGAGGUAGGAUAGUGCAGGGAAGGCUAUGAUGUCGUUAAUGGGGGUUGGGCCGAAGAGGGUGGUCAAGCCAACUAUGGUGCAGGCCAGGGAUGUUCUGAAUGCAGAAGCGAGGCAUGCUUGAUGCAACAUAGCUUUGUUGAAGUAAAGUGAUGAUUUGCACAUAAUGAUUUGAUGGCUUUAUAGUGCUGGUGGGAGCUGAAUGCAUGAAGAAUGAUAUUGGGUUUUAUAAUGAGAAAAUGAGAAAUAAAGCAAAAGUACAGUUUAGUGGAUAUACUUGCACGUACGGAAGGAAAUACAGGGCUUUAGUAUGUUUAUGGAAAAUGAUGGUAGACCGUAGACAUAUAUAUAAGAAGAGUAAUGAUAUAUACACACCUCAUUUUUUAAACACUCCAUUUCCACAUCUUUUUAUUUCUAUCUCUCUCAUCUUAUCAUCUAUCACAUUUCAUAUUUUCUUUAAUUUCUCUUACUUUUUCUUUUCUUCCUAUCUCUCUCACCAUUCCACCUUUCCACCUCAAAAGAGAGGUGUGGAUGAAACAUUACACCCUAUAUAUAAGGGAUCCAUGUAGACUCUGAAAAAGAUAAAUGAGUAAUGAAUGUGGUGAAAGAAAAAAAAAUAGGUGUUAGAUAUCAAUAAGCAAUGUUUGUUAAAUGUCAUAGUAAGUAAAGGUUUUGAGAAUGACGGAUUCAGAAAUCCUAACUUUUGGGGUCUAACACGUAUAUAAAUAAACUUGUAACAUUAAAAAUAUAACAUGUUACUAUUAAAUAAGUUUGAAUAUAUAUCAUAGUUGUUUGAUAUGAGAAGAAAUGUUGGAUGUUUUUUACAAAUUAGAUUCCAAAAAUAUGUUUUUUCAAUUGGAUCUAUGGACAAUACGAAUUAUAGAAAAUGGACCAGUUGCCUCUGAUGAGAUUUUUUAAAUACUAUAUUUUUCCGUCCGAAAAAUAUUUAUAUUUCUCUUUCAAUUAAUCAUUGUUGAUUUUACUAAAUGUGUUAAAUUUUCGCUGUUCUAUCCAUUAUCUUUUUGGUUCUUCCUAUGAAUGGACCCAAUGUUUUAUCAUAGGCUGGAGGUUUAGGAGAAAUUAAUUGCUUUUUGAUAUUCUUCUUUUGAGAAACUUUUUCAUGGCUAAAGUUAAAAUCAAUAUAACCAAUCAAUAUUUAAAUGGACAUCAAAAUUCACUUAAAAUCAAUAUUAUUAUAAUAAAUAUAAGACGCAUUCCCAAAAAGAAUGUAAGAUGUAUACAAAAUAAAUUUGAUUUUAACUUGGACCUACAUCCGUCUUUGGUUGUGAUACUUAUUUGGUAUUAAGUAACAUCUUACAUUAAAGAAAACAAUUCAAUAAAAUAAAUUAUUUUUAAGUUUAUAAAAUUAAAAAGUUACAUUCUUAUUUUACUUUAAUAAUGCUAACUUUUUAUUGCAUUAAUUAUUUCCAAAAAAAUAAUGUAUACGCUUCACAAUUUUUUUACAUAACACAAUAAUUACUUAUUUUUCAAACAGAAAGUUGGUGGAGUUUCUUCUAAGUCCACGCUUCAUUUUGCCACACAUUAGGAUUCCACAAAAAAUGUGACGCCCUUCAAACUUUACCUAAUUAAGUCAUGUCUUUUUUUUAAAUGGCCUAAUUAAGUCAUGUCACAACACUUGUUAUUGGAGAACUUCUCAAAAAUCUCAAAAAGAUUCACAUAUCUUUAAGUGUCUGAAUGUUAUGAAAACAAAUUCUUUCAGAUUCAAUUUUUAUUACAGGUAAAUUUUCAACCAACCAUUUUUAAAUUUCACAACAAAGCAAUCAAUCAAUCGAUGCAUAAUGGGACUAAAAGUGGAAUUUCCCUAGACCUCCACUCAAUCACCGUUCUGAAAUGCACUGAAGUGCUUCCCAGGUGCGGCAACCUUAAUUAAUCUCCUUAUCUAAUCCAGUAAUCUUAUAUUGCUAUAUUUAGGGAACAAUCUAGUAUCGUGCUAUGAGGAUAAAAGAUGAUGUGUGUAAACUUUGAUAAUAGGACAUCGCCUACUUUAUAAGUAGUUUUGUAAUUAUUCAAAUCAACAAUGACAAUCACCAUGUUUUUUUGAAGCAUAUACGUAAAUUUUUUUGGAUUAUAACGUGGUCACUACUUAACUUUAACGGAAAAUACAAAUCAUUGUUUAUGUUACCAAAAAGUAUACAUCUAAAAUUGUAGCUAAGGGAGUAUAAAUGGUGACAAUUUAGCUUCAUAAAUUUAGAGUGGUAGAAUACACAAUGUGCUAAUUUACCCUGUAAGACCAACAAUGAUAUAUACAAACCUCAUUUUUUAAACACUUCAUUUCCAUCUAUUCUUGUUUCUAUCUCUCUCAUCUUAUCAUCUAUCACAUCUCAUACUUUCUCUCUCUUAUUUUUCUUUUUUUCCUAUCUCUCUCCUCAUUCCACAUCUUCCACCUCAAAUGAGAGGUGUGUAAGUAACAUUACUGCUGUAAGACGGACAAAACUAAAUAGAUGGUAAUGACAUCAUGCCUUAAAACUAGGUUUCAAGUAGUUUAGGUUGUACACUUAACAUUUAUCUCACGCAUGGUUAUAGACAAUAACCCUAGAUUAGUUGAGUAUCAUUACAUCUGAGAUCUUGUUCCCAUAAAUUUUUUAUUCAUCCAAAUCCACAAGAUGAUUAGGAGAAGCAUAUGAGUACUAAAAAUUGUUUUGAAUAUGAAAAUUAGGAAGAGAAGAUGCUCGAUAUUUACCAACACUGCUACUUUGAUUCAUCGACUCUCUCUGCAAAGAAAGUUUCAACUCUGUAUUUUAUAUAGCAUUGAAAUUUGAGUGUUAUUUCUUGUUCUUAUUGUAUCAUCUUAGCUCAUCUUAAGAGUUAUUGAAGUGUGAACCUCUCUACCUCUAGACAAUUAUCUUUGCCACAUAAUUUCAGUAAGCAUGAGAUGGCAAAUUCAUAUACCUGGAAUUUGUAACUAGGCCUGAAGAAGUGAGCUCAUUAUACUCGUUUUAACAAGCUAUUUUUCAUUAUCUACUCAUUUAAGGACAAACAACCUGCAAACAGGUUACCCAGUGCACCAUAAAUGUUUCACUAUUUUUAUUUUGAAUGAAUAAAGAAAUAAAAAAAUUACAACCUAUCCCACAAUCACACAAUCCAAGACUUACAUAAUGUACAACCUGACCUGAUCAUGAAUAUGAAACCUUUCUACAGUAAUAUGAAAUCUUUCACAUGAUAAAACCCAAGAAAGCUUUUAUUACACAGCAGUGCAAGCCAUAACUGGAGAUCUUUUAUCUUAACAAUCUGAAACAGUUUAUCUUUACAGUUCUCAUAACACCGCCUUCAAAUUUAGAAACACAAAUUCAUACUAGAGGUGUUCUCUAUAGAUUUUUAUUCAACUAAAGAAAUAAAACUAAUUUGGCCAAGCUUACAUUAAGAGGACGAACUACCAGGUUCGUAUAUUCCAGCACCAAGAGCUACGACAACCCAAAACACGAGAAUACUUAUUACAGCAGUUCUUAGCAACUGGUCAUAAGUGUUGUUUUGGCGGCCAUCAAAUUCAGUAGACUGACGCAGUGAUGGUGAAUCCUCAUUGUCACUGAUAUCCUCCUCCCUGUCAAUCCGGCUGGUCCCAGUUUCAUUAGGUUGAAAAACAUCCCACUUGCCAAUUUUAGCACAUUUCAUGCAAGUGCAGCUGCCUCCAAGAUAUGAUGGUAGUGUCGGCAGAUUGUCAGAAAGAACCUUCUGAUACAUUUCUCCUACUAAUUUCAACUUUUUCCUAGUAGCGGGUUUUAAAACCUACGAUCCAAAUGCUAAAUUUAGUUUCAAGGGAAGCACAAAUUUGGUGCCAGGGAUGAUACAGAAAAAACAAGAAACUGCACAGGAAUACACUACUAAUUUCAACUUUUUCCUAGUAGUGGGUUUUAAAACCUAAGCAACUGCAUACAGAUCUGAUGCACUCCAAGGAUAAGUGAACUUAAAUUGCACUCAAUUAAACAAUUUAUUGAGUAGCCAUACACUUCAUGAUCACCAACUUCACAACUACCUUCCCUCUUCCUACUUUCUUGGACAUUUAAUGAUAAAUAUAUGGAAAGGAGAGUUUACCUGAAUAAAAGUCUGGGCAACAACACGAACAAUGGCUGGAAGUCGUAUGACAAACAAACAACCAAGACAAUUAGGAAAGUGAUCUUGCAGAAGGGACGAACAAGAUUUCAACAUUUGCAUGGGAAUUUUCAAAGGAGAUAACCCUUCACAGUCCACCAAUACUGUAAUUUGAGGGUUGUCUGCAUCAACCAAGUGCAAGACACCAUAUUCUACCUGUGAUACUGAAGUAAAGACCACUGGUUACCAUUGAUCUAAAGAAUGAAAGAUGACAAGGGAAGAAUCCAAACUAGUAAAUUAUGAUCAAUAGAAUAGACAAUAGACAGGAGUAAGCAGAAAUGGAGAAGAGGAUUGCUGUCCCAAAAGAAAGCAAAAAUGAGAACUAUUGGCAAGAAAAAGAAAUACUGCAUGAGCUAUAUAAAAACAUACUGAUGGCCUGAGUAAACCGAGGUUUAUCUUGGGAUGCCAAUUUGCUGCAAGCUAUACCAAGCCUUAAAACGAGGCAAGGUCUUUGCAACAAAUCAAAUCCAUGCCAGAACACCAAAUUUGACCACAUUUCCAGCUCUUCUCCUGAGAGAAAUCGGUACCUCUCUCGCCAGCGUAUUGUCUUCUUGAUUGAGGUAAGGAAGCAUGAAUAGUCAUUAUCAGAAGCUUUGUAAAAUCUGAGGAGCUCAUCAUCAUUGAUUCUGCAUAAACACUACUAAAUCAUGGUCCGCUGCAACAGGAGAAACCAAGAAAUAUGCAAGUAAAUAUGCUAUUGCUAUCUAAUAAGGCAACUUUGGCCAAGAUUUUAAAACUUGCCUCAAGAAACACGGUAAUACAAAAUCAAAAGGAGAUCACAAUAAAUUGAAACAAAUUUAGGAAUAAAUAUUGAUAGCUUUACUAUCUACCAGUGUACAAUUGCAUGUGUAAGGAAUUCAGCAGCUGGUGAUGAAUAUCCAAAGUAAUUACAUUGAAUGAUACUUGCUUAAUAAAAAAUAUUAAUAUGUUCAACUGUGAAAAGAGAUAAUACAACUGGUCAUUUCUUUUAUUGUUUCUCAUUUUUUUUCAUAAAAUAGCAGAAAGGAGUAGAUCUUGAUUAUCAACAAGAAUUGCAAAAUGACUAUAAUCAUAUGCAUAUCAAAUAGCCUAGUUUGAAAUGGAAUUCUGGGAGUAUCCUGUCAUGGUAUUUUCUACAACAAUCAAAUACCUUUCUGGCAAACUAAUCCCUUGAUUUUCCAGCUCUUGCUCGAGUUGAGUCAACCAGUUCUCAUAUUCUAGAACUCUAGGAGCUCUCUCAGAUUGACUGUGCAAAAGGAAAGAAAAAUGUUAACAAGAACCAAAGCAGCUUGCAAAAGAUUAGAAGACAUGGAAAGCUCUAAACGACAAUCUAAAAUUUAUCCUAAAGAAGAACAUGAAAAGAGCUUUAUUCACCAGAAGGACUAGUCACGUUCUUAAGUUAUUACUUAUGAUAAUCAUAUGUAUAACAUGUAUAAACAUGAAAAGAUAAUGGUUGACUAGGGGUCAGUCCUUUAUGUUCUUGGCUAAAUAAUAUGAUAUCCUACACUACUUUUUGAGAAAUAUAUCAGAGGUCUCUCGUAACAAUUGUUUCUGUCAAGCACCCACAUCAACUAGAGAUAGCCAAUGUAGUCUCUGUAAGGGUUUGGACAACUCUCACAUGGGGUUGAAUCAGACCUAGUCCAAUAUUCAAAAUGAUAUCAAAGCAUAUCCUAAAUUUGAUAAUGGAACAGCCACAAAUUCCAAGAAUCAACCUGACCUCGCGGUUAUCCCAAAGAAAAUCAAUUUCACCACAUAACAUUCCCAGGAAAAGGAAAAUCAAGUCGUACAAUCUUCACACUCCAGAUGACCAAUCCUGGGCAUCAGAGGGAUGUGUCAAGAUCUCACAUUGACUAGAGAUAUGACCAAAAUAGCUAUUAGAAAGGUUUGUGCAAUCAUUACCUCACUAGCUAGCCUUUUGGCAUAUUGAUUUUCCAUAUGAUAUCUAAAAUACCAUGACUAGAACUCUAAAUCCUGCAAACUGCACCAAGUUUGAAAUAAGAGACUAACCUUCUGCUAGGGCCCCAACCCAGUGUGGCAGGGCCGCAGGGGAUUGGAAUAUAAAUAGGAAACAAUUAGUUAUGAAAUUAACUAUAAAUUGGGUAGUUAAAUGGGGGGCCUCUGUGUGAUUGAGAUUCAUUCUUACAGUUGAAUAACAGAACCAAAUUUGGUUGUAAGGGAAACCCUUUGGGGAGACUCAAUUGCUUCCUGUUCCUACUGGUGCACACCUUCUAAGCCCUGCCUCACUGACUUGGGCUCUAACAGCUUCUAAUCCCUUAACCUUUUCAUGAAAAAGUUGUGGAGGCUCAUUCGGCAGUCCAAUCAGUAGCUACCUUUCAUUUCCAUAAAAAUUUAUGGAUGGAUUAUUUUAUGAAUACGCUACUAGACAAUGAACUCUCACUAAAACAAUACUCUCAGAACCUCAGAUGAUGCAAGUAACAUUAGUACAAAUAAAUUUCAGAGGGAUUUGAAUAAAGUUAUUAAAACUUAAGAACCUUAAUGAAACCCGGAAAGCGUAAAGAUAAUAAUUUGCCAAGAAUCCUUAUAUUACUUAAAAAAAUCUUCCAAAAAUAAAAACUGAAGUGGCAUUACAAAUUUGCUUAAUGUGGGAUGGCUCCAGGGUCCGGGUUAGUUUCUGUAAGUCAGUUAUUUGCGGAGAUAAAUACAAGCCUGCAGAUUUAUCAAUUCCCAAACAGUUAAUGUCAAAGAACUGUGCAUUAUAAAAGGUAACCCUCUAGAAAAUGUUAAUUUACCAUCACAGUUCUUAAGCAGAAAAUUAUGGACUUAUGAUGUUCCCAUCUUUUAGCUGAUAAAGUACUUUUAAUCAGAUCCAAACAGGGCUAUAUCACAAAGACAAACCUUGGUGUGAAGCUUCAAAUCAUAUACCUUGUAUUCAAAUUAGCUUGCACAGGAGAUGAUUCAGCAGAUACUUCAGAUUCUGAAUCACGGGAAUCAGAAAUACAAUUUGAGGUUCCAUCACUGCAUUGGGGUGGAUCAGUAAAAGCAGUUGCAAUUGAAAGGACCAGUAAGGGUCUUGAUAGUACCUGGUAGCAGUGACAUUAUAAGCUAUAUGCUUCAUGAAUAAAGCUAAACUUGGGAUAUUAGAAGGGGGCAAAUACAAAACAAUUUGAUGAAAAAAUAAUAUAAGUUGGUAAACUUUUUCUACAGAAAACAACAAAGAGGAAGAAAAAUUAAUCUCUGAGAAAUUCAACAAACAUACAUGAUAAAACAAGAAGCUUCCCCAAAACAAAGAUUAAUUUGUCGAUAAUUCAUUUUCCUGAGAUAUCAUAUUUUGCUGCUUCGAAAUAUCAUUCAAUUAUAUAACUCUUCUAAUGAAAACUUAACAAGUUCAUGGUCACACACCUGCAUGCUUUUCACCAAACCACUAAAGGGUGCCCAUCUCUGAAUCCAUUUAAAUGGUGGAUAGACAAGGAUUUGUAAACCCUGCAGGCCUCGCCACACACAUGGACAUUUACUCUUGGAGAAUCUCCUUACUGCCUCUAGAGCAGCAACUUUAACUAAAAACAUCGCGACACGACCCACAUUACUAGUUCCAAAGUCACCGCGGGUCAACGAAACAAGAUCCUCGCACUUUCUCCGCGCAAAGCCUUUAGGACGCGACGCAACUAGCUGUCCUUUGUACAUUUUUUCCCCUUUGAUAGUAGCACUGCUUCGUUUCGAAUUCGAAGUCAUGAUCAAGUAAGAAUUCCCCACAACGCUACAAAAAAAUGCAACAAUUAAUACCAGAAGAAAUCUCUGCAAAUGUGAAUUCUACCUAACCAUUAAAUCAAAUCAUCAUUUUACACCAGAAAUCAUCAAUUUACACCAGAACAACAAAACCAGAAAAAACUCCAUUGAAAUGAGUGAAUUAGCUUGUGAAUCACUAUUACGUUGAAAUUGACGAGAAAAUGAUGCAUAAUGAGCAAUAAUUGAAACACAGUAUAGUAGUAGCAGAAGCAUAAUUAGCAUAUACGAUUGUGAAUUUGUGAUUCGAAUUGGGAUCAGCUUCGAAGAGUUUACCUGGAUCAAUGGAUUCUACGGCGGAGGAAAGGGUUGAUCGGUGGUCGCUGAGAGCGUUGGGGUUCUUCCUUCCUUCGUCGGCGAUUCCACCGAAUGCGACUUCACUUUCCGUGUUACGUUGCAGAUCUUCGGUUUGGGUUUUGGAGGGGAACCGAACCUGAAGGAAUGGAUGAAUCUUGACCGUUGUGUGGAUACGUGGACGGUGGAGAUCUGGUGAUUAGGACGUCUAUGUGUUGUUGCACUGGGACACCACCUUAUUUAACACGGACUGCACUGUAGGACAAUUGAAGUCCAAGAGAAAAAAAAAAUUUAAACACUAUACGUAAACUUUUAUACUAAUAUCUUAUAAAAUACUAGUAUUUUUUACCCGUGCAUCGCACGGGGGAUGUUCAUUUUUGUUUGUCGUUUGUAAUUUUUAAAAACUUGUGUUAAUUUUAUUUUGUUUAUUCAAAUAAUUAUAAAAGUCACUAUCAAGUGUGAGUAAGUCUAUCAAGUGUGAGUAAGUUUGACAAACUAUUGUUUUGUUGGAUUAGAGGAGUAUCCUACUGGUUUAGUAGGCAUAUUAACCUCUGAUUUGAGUAUUUCUCAUUAAUGAAAGCUCCAACUUUCUGUAAAAAAAAAGUCUAACAUAGAAAUAAAAUGACAAUUUUGAGCUGUUUAUAAGUAAGAUGAUUCAUACACCUAACGUUUUGAGGUUUUAGGUGAAAUAUGAGGUGUUCAACACACUUGUGUUUGUUGUUUACCCCAAUGUGAUGAUGUGAUGAUCCCUCAUAGUUCUAAACAUAUUUUUUGCCCUAACACCAUCAUGAUAUUAAUGUUGUCAACUCAAACAGUAUUGUGUCCCAAUGAGAGUAUUUGAAAUCAACGAAAAAACAUAUGAAUAUUAAGUUGAGUAAUAUCUCAUUUACGAUCUGAAUAUUUGAAUGAAUUUUAUUGUCAAAAUGAACCUCAUAAAUGUAGUAGAAAUUAAUUUUUAAAAAAAAAGAAGAAGAAGAAGAAAUUGGGUCAUUUAUAAUAUAUGAGGCAAAUAAAGUAGGAUAUCAGUUACAAACCUUAAUUGACGAUAAAGCAAAUAAGUAGGAUAUAAGUUACAAAGAUAACUCUUUAAUUAGAUAUUUAUGACUACAUAAUCAUGAUAUUGUUUUGAUCACAGUAAUUAAAUUGGGGUGAUUUACAAUAUAAAACCAUCUUAUUUUUCAUGUUCUUUAUGUCUUUCAUACAAUAAUUAAUCAACUUAACGUUUGAAAAUGUGAAGAGUUUUAAAAAAGAAAAUGUGAAGUUUUUUUUAUAAUAUGCGAAGUGAUUAACAUUUAAGGAAAGAAACUGAGUCUCUAAUGAUAGCUCAAGUGGUAAGAGCUGGGGGGGCAUAUGAGUAGGGGAGAAGAAGGUCUAGAGAUCGAUCCCGAGAGGGUGCAAUUUAUCUUUCCUAUGUACCAAAAAGAAAGGAAAGAAUCCGAAUAAAAAAUAUUGGUGGACAUAAAAACAAUAUAAUCCACUAUUGGACACCUACAUUUGUGAUGGUUUUAGAGCACUAAAAAGUGUAUAAAAGGUUAAGAAUCCAAAAAGAACAAAGGCAUAUAAUAAUUGCAAAAAAAAGAAAAUUCAUAGUGAAACGCAUACAAAUCAAUGGACCAACAAAUCUAUGAAAUCAUAUAAGAAAACCGGUAAAAAAAAUAUGGACAAAGAGGUAUGUAUACCUAUAAUUUAAGUUGUACAUAAGAUUGAAGGUUUAAAAGAACUAAAAAAUAUUGAAAGUCUAAAAAAACUGAAGAAUAUUGAAGGUCUCUUCAAAGAUUCUUAGGACCCCUAUGUGAAUGCAUUGAUUUUUACAAUUAAGCUUAGUGAAUAGAUUAGGGAAUGCAAAAGGACAAUGAGAUUCCUAUGAAAUGAACGGUUGUGAUUGAAUAUGGGAGAAUAAUUUGCAUUUUUACCAAAAUAAUUAUAGUCAAAUUUUCAAUGUAGUAUAAAAAUUGUUAAAUUAUUAUUUUAUCCUCAAGGUUGCGAAAACUUCUUCUUUUUUAUAUCUACAGAAUGACCAAAAUUCAUUAAAAAUUUAAUUUAGAUCUAAUAUUAGUUAACGGGUAAAAAAUUAUUUAAUUUGUUAAUGUAUCAAAACUAUUUUGUAGAUAAGUUUUUGACCCGUGUCUUUUUGUGUAUAGGAUGAAAUUUUUUAAAAUUUAUAUUAUUUUGUUAUGAUUAUUAAAAUAGAGUUUCUAAAUUAACAAAAUAAAAUUAAUUUUACUUAAGUAUAAGAAAAUAAAAAUUUGAAUUUUUUUUAGUUUUGCGAUAAAUGCGUUUGACUUUUUUAAGAAGCGUAAUAUUUAUAUUUCUUUGUGGUUGUUUUCUAAAUAUUGAAUGAUUUAAUUUAGUUUUUAUAUAAAUAUUUACAAUUUUUUUUUUGUUUUGCGAUGUCCUAACAAAACUUAACAACCUUCAUGAGUUUUAAAAUGGAAAAAUCAAAUGAACACUACAUGCUCUCCAAAAAUCAUCAAAUUUAAAUUUAUCAUAAAGGUAGAAGAAUUAAAAAAAAUAAGAAUAAAGAAUACUUGGAACUAUUCUCAGAAACUGAACCCUUGUCUCUUGUUGUUUUUUCUUCCAAAAUUUCAGUGGGGUGCAGAGGAAAGAAGUCCAACGCUUCUUGGUUACUACAUUGAAUGUUAUGAUAUGAGAUCCUCUAUUGCAGCCAUCAUAUACCAUUUGGCCAUUAUAGAGACUUGACAUGGGUACAACCUUCUCAACAUGACUCCUACAGCCUACAGGUAGAAGCACCACCGUGUCUGAGGUAUACAAUAUGGGUCAUAGAGGGCUGGGGGAUAACCUUUCAUGGAAUUCUAUGUUUUUUUAACAGGGUGAACAAACAAACCAAAAGAACUCAUUAUGAUUUUUUGUGGGGGCAUAAAUAAAAGAAAUGAUAAAUGAAAAGAAGAACACAUGUACCACAACAAACAACAUCCAUUCAAGGGCUAUAGCAAAAUAUCUACAGAAAAAUACUUCAUCCGUUCCAAAAUGUAAGUUGUUUUAGAAUUUGUACUAUAUUCCAAAAUAUAAGUUGUUUUGCAAAACCAAUGCACUUUUUUUCUAUUUCUUCCUUAUAUACCCUCAUUUAAUAUUAUAUCUCUUAAUUACCACCUUCAAUUUUCACCUAUCACAACUCUCACUAUCCACUUAACCAAUAAUAACAUUUCUCUCUUCUUAAUAUAACACAACUUUAAAUAUGGGUAUUUUAAUAAAAAAAAUUAUCAAUUAAUGAGCUCUUAAACAAUAUGCACAAACCUAAAACAACCUAUAUUUUGGAACGGGGGGAGUAAGUAGAAGUUGUUGUCAUUAAAAAGAUCAACCCUAUAAUUUUUCAAUUGAGCAAAGAGAAGUACCUGCUUUCAUUAACACUAAUCUUCCUUAGGUUUUGAAAUAGAACUUGGAAGAUUGGAAUGGUCAAAAUAACUAACUUAAAAAAAAAAGAUUUCAUUCUGAUAUAAAAUGAUUGUAUCAAUCCAAAAUAGUUAGAAUAGACACAUUCAAAACAUGAUAUUCAUAACUGGAACUUAUGAGCUAACAGAUAAAAACAAAAACUAAUGAGGUGAUAUUUGUUUUAACAAAAAAUAAUUAAAAGUGUAUCUUUCAUCAUCAUCAUCAUCCUUUUUUUGCACAAAUUUGCUUGGUUUAUAAAACUUAAAAAAUACUAUAUCAUGAAAUUCUAAAUGAGGUAAAUUUUUAUAGCAACAUAAUGAGUUAUUAUUAUUAUUAUUAUUAUUAUUAUUAUUAUUAUUAUUAUUUUAAUAACCAUUAUUCCAUUUUUUAAUUAAAUUAAAUAUACUUGAACAAAUAUGUUAGUUUGUGAAAGUAGCUUUUUUUGUGGUAAAAUAAAUAUCGAUAUAAAUUUUAUGAAAAUGCAUUAAAAUAAAUUAACGUAAGUGCAUCACAUGAUGAACUAUCAUGGUCGACAUCUUCAUCUUCAUCAGAUAAAAUAUGAUCGUGGUCGAAAUUGUGUGAAGCUGCUUAGCAAUUUAUAAGGGGAGCUUAUUAAAAAUAUGCUAUAAUUUAAAUUUUCAUGUUGGUGUAAAGUCAAGACACUUGAAGAAUCAAUAUCCUUCCGAGAUCUAAAAGAUGCAUGGAAUGUCCCCUACCCCUUUUUAAACAAUGCAAUUGAGUUUCAUCUUCGCUCAUAUCAUUUUGAGUUAGACCACCUAUUGAAUUUUUGGAUUAAAAUAGUGUGGUAUGGUUUUAGUCAAAUGUUAUAUUAUUUUUUUAUUAAUAAAUAUCUAGUAGCAAUAAUAAAAAACAUAAAUUAAAUUAAAUGAUAGAUACUUACUUCUUAUAUCAUUGACACGGUUUCUACGAACUUGUGAAUUUCGGCUUCGUGCCGAGGCCUUUACAUGGGAGAUACAUAUUGUUGUGCUUUGAUCUGCUGCAUUGUUUUGUUCAAAUAUUUCCAUUUAAAAGAAUUUUUUGGGAAUAUAUAAAAGCAAUUUAGAUAAUCAAGCACCGACACAAAAUAACUUAAUUUUUUUUGUUUUGGAAACAUACCAUUUGAAAUGUUAGGUUGUUGAAUGCUUGUAGAAGUUCCUUCGUCGUUGACAUGGGUUCUCUGAACUGGUGAAUUUCUGCUUCGUGCCAAACCCUUUACAUGGGAGAUUCACAAUGUGUUUUGUUAUGGUAUACAAAUAUUUACAUCGAAAAUAUUUUUUUAGAGAAUAUAUAAAAGCAAUUUAAUUAACAAAACACCGGCACAACAUAAAACAAAUAAAAGUUGCUUUACGAUUAGAAGUGUUAGAUUGUUGAAACCUCGCAUAAGUUCCUUAGCUCAUUUUAUGUUAGAAUUAGGCAUUAUAUGAAAAUGGUGGAUUCAUGAAUGUUAAACUUGUAGAAAAAAUUGGAUAAAAAAAGAAAUAAUUAAAAAAUUGAUAUGUACGAAACUUACUUGUGUCGUUGGUCGAAGAUCCAUGAUUUGAUGAAUUAUACUUGCAAUCUUUAUCUUUCAGUCUCAUUUAGAGGGCGAUAAACAAUGCGAAAGGGUGAUAAAUCGUUUCAAAGGUAAAGAUUUUUGAGUGGGAAAUUGUGUGUUGAGAUGAAGAUUUUUUUGUUAUUUAUAUAGUAAGCAAAUGGGAAUGGAGUUAUAGAAGUGGAAUAGUUUUUUCUCUUGGUUUUAAUUAUUUAUUUUUGUGUCAUGAUUAGAUACUUUGAUGUAGGAUUUUAAACCAAUAUUGAAGGUUACAAAUUUUUAAACUUCUUCUAAAUUAAUCUCUUAAUUUAUAUGUAACUUCUAAAUUGCAUUAAUAUUUUUAUAAAAAAAUUUGUGCUUAUAAAAAUUUGCACAUUUAAGACAUUUUUUUAUUUAUUUUCUAUGCAAUAAUAGAAAGCAUAUGAGAAUAUGAUUGUAGAAUAUGAAUGGUUGUUGUAACAUCAUUAGGUAAUUUAAAGUGGGAUGUUAAAGGUUUAUUUUUUUUAACUUCUUAUAAAUUAAUUUCUUAAAUGUAUGUAACUCCUAAAUUGCCUUAAUUUUUUUAACUUCUCAUAAUUCACUAUUAGGCACUUUUUUUUUGGCAAAUCAUUAUUAGGCACUUUGAUAAAUCAAAUGCUUGUGAAUCAACGGUUGAGAUUCAAUCCAAGAGAAAUAAAUUACUUUUUUACUAAAAUACUCAUGCCAAACUUUCAUAGUUUUUAAAAUUAAUUGUUGAAUGACUGGUUUGCCCCAAGGUUGCACAAACUCUCCCUUUAUAUAGUUUAUAGAUAGAUACAUUAUAAAAAAUUUAUACUAAUUUAAAAUUUUAUUUCUUAACAUUGUAUAUUUUUAAAUUAUUUAAUAUUUAAUACAUUAUAUGUAUGUAUUCAAGUUUAACCACAAUUUGACUAUGGCUGAAUAUUAUUGAACCAUAAACUAAGUACCUCCACCGAUUCAUUACAUGUUUUGAGAGCAUCCACCAUAAUAAUCAACGUACUUAUCUCACACUUCUCUUUUUCUUUUUUCCUGACAUCCCCUGAUCUGUUUGUUCUCAGUAAAAAACAUUGAAGCUAAGUAACAAGUAAGGGCAUGCAUGAACUCCACGUGUGACACCUGAUAAAUUGCCACAUGCACAUGAAAUUGACUCGCUCCGGCUUUGAAGAUCAAAUUAAACUGCAACAGAACAGAGGAUGUGAAAUUGUGAAUGUGAAGAGGAGAGGAAAGAGUAUCAAUCGAUAAUCAUAGCAUAUAUCAAACACUUAUCUUGUGUGAAAUCAAUAUCAUCGAUCAAUGGCUUCCAAUCUCAACCCUGCGUUUGCGUACACGGUGCUUUAUGUAAAAGAUGUAGCCCAAUCUGUAGAUUUCUAUGCCAAAGCAUUUGGCUAUUCUGUUCGUCGCUUAGACGACUCUCACAGGUUAGUAUUUAAUUAUUCAGUUUUAUUUAAUUACCUAUAAUUUCAUUUCAUUCUCCUCUUCAAAUCCAAAUCACAAUAUUGAGUUAGUGUAACUAAUUAUCAUGGAUCAAACACUAGUUUAUUUAUUUUUCAAUGAUGGUGUUGCCUAAUUAGAUGGGGAGAGUUGGAAAGUGGUAACACAACCAUUGCUUUCACUCCAAUGAUCCAACAUGAGACCAAUGAUCUCACAGGUGCGGUCCAUGCCACUCAAUCUCCUCGAGAAAGACCACAGCUCGAGGUUUGUUUUGUUUACCAUGAUGUUGAUGCUGCUUACAAGGUUCGUACCUACCUAUAUCAUUUAUUGGUUUGUUAAUUCUGUUGAAUCUUGAUCUUAUCAUGGUUGGUUAUAUUGAGUUUGGAUUUAAUGGAUCAGAGGGCGGUGGAGAAUGGAGCGGUGGCGGUGAGCGAGCCUGAGCUCAAGGAGUGGGGCCAGAAGGUAGGGUAUGUCAGAGAUAUUGACGGCAACGUCAUCAGAAUGGGAAGCCAUGUCAAAUAGGAACAUAUAUAUUUCAUUCAUAUGCUGUGUGAUGCCUGUUUAUGGUUCUGUUUAAGUAUAAACAAGAUCACUGUACUGUGUGAACUGCUGUACUUGUGGUAAAAAAUGAUGAUCACUACUAGAAUAAAAUUAUCAACUGCAUGCUGUCAUGAAGGAAUCAACUCUCCUUGCAUGUGUGUAAACAGCUGUAUUGUGCAUACACCUAUAAUUCAUUGAUUGUUGUUGCAUAUUCGAAGUUUUAUAGAGAAUUAGAGAUGUGAUGCAAAAGUGAUAAUCAUAACUUUUAUCAACUCACUAUAUAUUUUUCAUCAUUUGAUCACUCUUGGCCGCAUGAAGCCAUUGAACACCAACACAAAUGGAGUGCUAUCCAUAGAACUAGCUAUAUUCGGACAUCUAUUAUCAAAUGCUUCAAAUGAUCGUCUGAGAGAAUAAAAAUUCAUUCAUGUUGUAUGUAUCCUAAUACACAUUAAGUUCAUAUUUUAAUAUAUGGUAGAAAAAUGCUCUUGAUUUUGGUUCAUCGUGUGUAUCUAAGUGUGUAUUUGGAAAAGAUUGAUGGCUAAACUCACACAUAUACCAUAAUGGUGAGUUGCUUUGGGAAGCUAUACGCCAUUUUGAACUCCCAAACUCAGCCAAAAACGAAUUCUAAGCCAGACGAAACCUAAAUAUCAAGUCACCUGGGAUCCUACAGCGAGUUUGCUACUUGCCUCUUAACAAAGUUUCUUAGCAUGAGACUCAAACAAGGGCUAACAGCGAUAUGAUAUUCCAACCAAAAGAGCAGAAUUCUCGAGAGAUCUAUAAAUUACACCACUAAAUGUACUUAUUUCGUGGUGAAAACUCAGCCUUUGAGAGCUUGUGCCGCAAAAUGCAGAAUCAGAAAUCAUUAUAUUCAGCCAAAAGAAAAUGAGGAGAAAGGAACAAAUGGCCAAAACGUUUGUUUAAUAUUCAGCCAAUAGAAAGAACAAAAGUAAAUUUCCAAUAAACUAGUCAAAACCAAAAGCCAAAACACUUUAAUACAGUUUGUUUCCAAGUCAUGACAAAUGGCCAUGCAGAGAAGAUCAUGGAACUGAAGAAAGCAAUGUGGACAGCUUCCAACGCCAUUCUUACAAGGUAAUAGGUGAACGUUCCAUUACACAUAACUUACAUGUCCCCUCCAGUUCACAAAAGCAGGAUGUGGUGGAACAGGUGACAAAUCACAACAUUUCUUGUGAUCUCCUUACACAUCUGCUAACCUUUUUCUUGAAAUCAUCUCUUCUGUCUCUCCACUCUUUCUGCAAAAACAGAUUAUAUAGGUAGGUAUUAGAACAAACUCACAGGCAGAAGAGAUCAAGAUUGAAGCACUUUAUACUCACACAACCCAAAAAGAAAAAUGACAAUUACAUUACAUGCUAGCUUUUAUAGUAUAAAAAGGACAUCAAAGAAGGCAUCUGGAUAGGUACAAAACAAAGUUUGCAAAUUGCUUGAAGUUGAUAUUAUAAAAUGAAUACUUGAUAAAUGUGUAGACAUAACAAUACAUGUAAACUACACGAAACAAUAUCAGAUUUUCUCUGCCCCUGUACAAAAUUCAGGAUUUUGCUUAGACCAGCAAAGUGUAUUUAGCAUUUAGCAACUAGUGGAACCAACAAGGCGUUGGUCUAGUGGUAGGCAAGCUAGAUUCUCAUAAGGAUGAAAACACAACUUCGAGCCUCGGGAGAGUCAUCAUUUGGGAGGGGACUAGCACAGUUUCGGAACAGAUUUUCAUUAGGCAAAGACCAAAAAAGGAAAACAUCCACAUCCGUAAAGAAGAAACUCUCUCUUGUACACUUCUUGCACAAGCCCACGGUUUCAUGCGAUAUCUCAGCAUCAAAUCACUCACAUCCAUUAGCAAUUAGCUCAUGUUAUCUAGGGACAUAUGUUGAAUCCCCGCUGACAUAAUUAGAGCAUAUACAAGAUCAAAGCAAACUAGGGGAAAAUAAUCAAGAGUCCAUGAAAUAAAAACCAUUCACUGCAAUUAGCAGUCCAUGACAAAAAAAUUCUGUAUGUUGUGACAAAGUCUGGUUUGCAUUUUCUUCUCUUGGAUACAAAUAAGUACCAUACAACAGGUAGGUUUCAGUAAAACAAUUAAGGUAUAACAAAGAAUAAUUAUCAAACUUACCGCAGCUUCAACAUUGGCAGGAGAUUCAUCAUUAGGACUGGAAAGCAUGGAUAUGAUACUCAAUACUAUACUCUCUACCUGCAAAAUAACAUGUAAUGUAUUAUCACUUAUUGCCAGAUAGGAUUCAAAAUAGCUCAUAUCUUCACAAGUAGCAAGUAUAUAAAUCAAUAAUGGUGGACAAGCAAAGGCAUACAAUUUCCAAAGGACAUCCAACGACACUAUUAAUGGCAAACCGCAAACCAACCUUGAAAUUUUUAACACUCCAAAUUAGUUAUAAGACAUUUGAAGUCUUCAAUAACAUUUUAAAGCUAUUUCUGUUUGAUAAUAUUGUGCUGAAGAGAUCUUGAUUGAACCUUAGUCUUUCACUUUAUGGCUCUACAAACCUUCAUAAACAUAAUAGACUCAAAACUAAUGAGCCUUUCACUCUGCCUACAUUUAGAAGCUAAUGAGAAAUAUGAUAGUUAUAAGUUGGUGCUGUAACCGGGUCUCUUGGAUAUAGUUGGCAGUGAUCUCUUUGCUGUUUUCUAUUUGUUUGAUGUAUUGUGUUUAAUUGAGUCCCAAUGUCGAGUUGAGCUCUAUUUUUGUUGGGUUUGUGUGAUGUUUGCCACACCUAGGUCCCCGAUAGAUGCUCUUCUCGUAGGUUUUAGGUGUUUAUUCGCCGGGUAGAAGUCUUAGGACUUUCUUUGUUGCAUUGUGGACUAUUCACACGUUGUAUGUUAUCUGUACUAUCAACUUUAUAUUAUAUCUAUAUAUAUAUAUUCUGCUUUCAAAAAAAAAAGUUAUAACUCCAAAAUGAGAAACUCACAAUUAGCAAAUCCAGCAAAUUACAUUUUCUUUAAUCCGGCAAAUUAUAGAAUUGAUAGCUUCAUGUGUAGAGCCAUUAAUCUUACAGCACUAGUCUCCAACAUCUAUAGUAGUGCUUGAAAUUUGUAAUACGUACUUUAUCCAUUUAUGAAAUGAGAGAAAAAAAAAGUUUUGAUACUUCCUUGCAGCAUCUUCAAGAUCAACUUUAUUCAACCAUUGAUUUAGGAUACAUUUGAUGCAGUGAGGAAGAAAACAAACAAAACAGAACAGUAUGAGUGGUUGAGUCACAACAUAACUUUUGUUCUAUCAAUUGUUUGGUAGUCAAUACAGAGGGCAAACAGCUUCAAGGAAGCACAAGAGGAAUAAACGAUGGAGAAAGAUUGUGGAGGAAUAAAAGGGGGCUCGAGGAAGAGGACUAUCAAGAAUAGGGGGAAAAGAAGAAUAUUCUUUACUUUAGAAUAAUGUGUGGGGGACAAUAUCAAAAGAAAAAGAUUCUCAUGGUUUUUAAAUAUUCUUUACUUUUGCAUAAUGUGUGAAGGAUAAAAAUCACAACAUGCUGUCCCGUGUUUGUGAAGUAACAAAUCUUAAGACUUCUGUUCUGUACAUCAUCUUUUCCAUUGUUUUGUCUCACAGCAAAUUUCUAAAAUCAAACAUAGAACAAGUGUUUUUGUUCUGUCCAAUCAAUCAUUUCUUAGUAAAUCAAACAUACACUUGAGGUAUUGAUAUUAUCUCCAUCUAUUUUAAAAUGGGGAAGGAAAGGAGGAAGCAUGGAAAGGAUAUGUUUAAAUGUUUUAACUUGAUUAUUAAACAAGGGCACAGGGGAUUUGUAAGGAUUAAAGAGAAACUAUAAUGCUACCAUCCACCACUAAGUUAAUUUUUAGUAAAUAAUAUCAAUAUCAAAGUCAGGCUACAGGUUUCAAAGUGCAGAGUGAAAUUACCCUUCCCAGUACCCCACAUUUCCAAAGUACUGUAUAGAAAAAGAGAUAAAAGUAAAAUUCUAGCUUCAUAUUUUCACGUACUGUAUGAACAGGCGUCCAGCGCUCACUAGCAAGCUCGUAACCAUUUGGAUCAUCACCAGGAGGAUGAAGGAUUGAUAUGCAAACCCGGCCAUCAGUAUAUACUGCAAAUUGAAAAGCAAACUUAAUUUUCAUGUUGUACGAAUCAAGAGCAAGAUCAAAACGAAGAAAAACCAACCAUUGGGGUGCCAUAUCUCUGAGGUGAAUUUCACUGAUGGAGGACUAUUCGGGUAAUUCGACGGAAAACUCAUGAUGGCAUUGAAAAAUCCCCCCUCACUGAGAAAUCCAACGAAUUGCGAACAAAACAGCAGAGAAACGUCAGUAAAAUUCCAAUUCUACAAAAGGAAUUGAAAAAAAAAAAAACAAGAUAACAGCUAGGAAAACUAGAGAAGUAGCAGAAUCUGGUCUAAUCAAAUGAACCAAAACCCAAAAUCAAUCGCGAGAGAGUUAAACAGCACAAUCAAUUGCAAUGUUGUCAAAUCGCGGACCAUCGCGGUGAGCUAAAAAUCCGCUAUUUAGCGGUGAAUAGCAAGAAUAGCGCGCUAUAGUGGGCCAUAGCGGCGUCGCGAUUAGCCAAAAAUCCGCUACGCUAGCUAUUUGAUAACACUGAUCAAUUGUUUUCGGAAAACAUCACCUUAGACAAGAAUAUCAGUCAAUCAAGUAAAGAAACAACAUUAACAAAUCCUCAUGAUUAGGGCAGGCGACAAAACAAAGUCAUUAAAUCAAUAGCCAAAACAAGCAAUCAUAAACAUGAAAAACAUUGCCUGGAACCCCCCAAACAAACACAAAAGCAAACAACCAAUAAGGAAGAAAACCCAAAACCCAAACAUGGAAUAGGAAAUCCAAAAAAAUUUACAUGAUAUUGAAUACUCACUAAAGGGUAUCUGGGGGUCCAAUAAUGGUGACGCUCCAUUCAAAGAUGUUGGUUUCGUCGACCAAACCGGCAGAGAAGCCAUCGACGGGGUGUUUGCAAAGAUCUGCAAGCAAAAGGGAAAAGGGGGCAAUCAGAACAUCGCGGAAAAUCAACGCUACACGAAAUCAAAGACAGGGAAGAAAGAAGGGUUACCUUUGAGCUGCUUUUGAAGGAGAAGGCUGGCCUGUGAUGAAGCCAUCAAGGUUUCUGGGGAUUUUAGCUCCUUCAAAACUUGGAUGAUUGAUUGAUUGAUUAUUUAUAAGACAAGAAGAAGCAGAGAAUCAAACAAAGAAUGAGAGGAAAACAGAAAGAUUAUUUGGGGUUUGGGUUUUGUUGCCCUUUAAUAGAGAGGCUGAUUUGGAUUGCAUCAAUUAAACAAGAAUAGUUGUUUGCUAGUAGGGUUGAUCAUUGAAAUUCCAAUUCAAUCAAAACAGAAAAUUUGAUUUUAAAAUAUUGAAAUCCCAAAUAAAAAUAUCAAAAUACAUCAAUUUUUUUUAUUGGAUUGGUUUUAAAUUUGUUUUUUAAGCUGAAUCGAUUCAAUACAAACAUAAUAUUUACAAAUAUGUAUAGAUAUAAUUACAUAUAUAUAUAUAUAUAUAUAUAUCAUGAAGAUAUAUUUUAUUUUACGAUAGAGAUGUUUAGAUAUGAUAACGAUAUGAAGAAUCAUAAUUGUUAGAACUAAUCUUAAAUGGUAACAAUAAGACCUCGACAGUUCCGGUGGAAGCACCAUCAAUUCCUUUCCUAUCGGCUCUGCAUAGGGGUGGAAAUAGGUCAGGCGGCUCGUCAAGGGCCUAUGGCUCGGCUCGUCUGAGGCUCGGUCUGGCCUGACUCGUUUAUUAAAAAUGUCAGACUUAGGCUUUUUAAAAGACUUGUUUAACUAAAAAUGUCAAGCCCAAACAAAUAAAAAAACUUAUUUAGCGUGAUAGGCCGGUCUACUUAUCUAUUAUUUUUAUUAAUAAUAUACAUAAAUAUAAUAUAAUUAUAUAUAAUUUAAUUUUUGUUGUGUUUGUUUUAAAUAAUUGAAGUUUUGUUCUUUGAAAUGCAAUGAUAUACAAGUUUAUUUAUUUGAAAAGAAAAUGAAAUGAUAUAUAAAAAGGCUUAUUAGCCUGCUGGCCUAUUAGUUCGCUGGCCUAAUGACAUUCUUUUGGUGAAAUUUUCUGUUAAAUAGACUCUUAUGUAGGUUUAUAGGUCAGGCCAGAGCUUAUAAAAAGUCAGGCCAAGCCUUAAAAUUUGGCAUAUUGAUAGGCCACAUGCUAGGCUUAGGCCACAAAAAGAGAAUGCAGGCGCCAAGCCUGACUCGGCCCAGCCUAUUUCCACCCCUAAUCUCUGCAUCAACAUCAACAACUUCUUUCGCUAUCGGAGUCACAACAAAGCUCUUCAUCUUUCUUCCACCUUUCUUGACCUUUUUGAGUCUUUACCUAAGCAUAGGGGUGUUCAGUUGAUUCGAGGGAGAAUAACACCCAAAUCAUGAGAAACCCUUAGAGCAUAAGAAUUAGGAAAUGCUCUAAGCACAAAGAAGCAGAGAACAUCAAAGUGAUCAUUACCUGUUGGACUAAGGCCCUAUUUUCUUUGCGGUAAGAACCUUCGCAAGGCAAAAGCAUCGUCUCUUCAAGCUCUUGAUUUCCAUCUAAUAUGCAAACAUAUAUUUCAAGAGAAAUCACUUUGGAAUAGAGCUCGUAUGACAAUGAGCCACCUAUACGCAUGCCAUAAAUCAUCCUUUCUUCAUCAACGAAGAAGGACAAAGUUGGCUAAUCCACCGCUUCCAUGUUGGUAGUAAAAAUCUUGUCGAGCUCUGUCAUUCCCUUAGCUCUCUUCGCAUCCACGUCCACAAUAGCUAAGUUGACCCGUAAAAUCUCACCAAAGCCACAAACAAGGACAUUCUACCCGAUUAAAACCCAUUUUAUUUAUACUUAUGUACAUACAUCCUUGUGGAAUUAUGAAAAGUACAUCGGGAUGUAAAAAUGGGAAGAAAGUUAUCAAUCAUUCUUUAUAACAUCUUCAUAAACUACUUUAUUAUUUGUCUUGCAAUGAAGGAGUCGUAGCAUGUAAGUGUUGUUCAGUAAUACCUGUUUGUCGGUUGAAAUACUUCAACUACAAAUUAAUACUUAUAGAAAAUAAUUGAAUUUUAAAUAUUUGAUUGGUUAAAAUUAAAAAAAAAUUAACAACUCUGCACUAAUUAUAAAGAUUUUAAAUAUUUAUUGGUUUAAAAAUGUAACUGAAUUUUUAAUAUAUAUAUAGGGGAAGUAUCAUAUGAGAAAGCUUUUCUUAUAUGAGAAAAAUAAGAAUGAUUCUCAGCCUUUAGAUUAAAAUAGAUGGUCCGGAUUAAAACAUUCACCUAAGCCUUUCUUUGGAAAAUUUGUUCUCCAAUUCAUUGCGCCGCACCCCCUCUGCAAUUCGUUCUCCAUAACAUUUGAAUCACCUCUGCAAUUGUUCACCGCCCAACUGGAUCUGUUUAUGAAAAUGAAAACCCAGAAAUCUAUAAAUAUAGCCCCAUAUAGGCAAAGUUUCUAAAUGAAAUACACUACCAACGCAUGAUGAAUGCAAGGCACCAAGUCAAAUAAAUUCCAACAGUACUAGCUACUAAUAUCAAUUUAUCGUUUUCUACAGUAUCCCACCCCAAUCUACAUUCAAACUUGAUUCAAAACCAUUGAAAUCCUUCCCAAAUAGAACAAAAAAUAAACUUCAGAGACCCGAGCAUGUAAGGGAGAAUCUCAAAUGGGUCAUUCUGGCGAACGAUGAUAGCAGAAAGGGGCUUUGGUUCGCUGUGUAGAGUUUUGCCUCAGCGGCGCGAAGCAACUCGAUGACCCGCGGUAGGGUUCGCAGCGGCAGCGUCGCAUAGGAACGAGGUAGGAAGCAGUGGAGUACUGUUGCGGACGAAAGAUGCUUGCAAGCGGCGGUGGAGUCAUGGAGAGUAGAUUUAUUCACAGUAGUUCUGGUGAAAGAUGGUGGCGGUGGCUAGAGACUAGAGACGGUGAGAGUAAAAGGAAUGGAGAACACGUGAGUGCUUAAGGGAAUGUUUUAAUCUAGACCAUCUAUUUUAAUCUAAAAACUGAGAAUCAUUCCUAUUUUUCUCACAUAAGAAAGACUUUCUCAUAUGAUACUCCCCCUAUAUAUAUACUAGUUUUAUACCCGUGCAUUCACGGGGUAAUUAAUUUUAAAAAAUUAUGAGAAAACAUUAAUAUUUAAUUUAAAAAAUUAAAUUAAUUUUAACAUCAAAAUAUAUUUUUCCGUAAAUUAUAUAUGUAUAUAAAUAAUAUUUUUUUAUUAAUUUUAACACGAACAAAUUUUUAUGUAAUGUGUUCCUCCCCGUGAUAUGUUUAUCUUUGUAAUUUUUCCAAAAAUAAAAGGAAGAUAUUUUGCCAUGUAGUAUACUUUUAACAUGGAGUUAUAUUUUAAAGUAGUGAAAUUUUAUUAAAAUUUAUUGUUGUAUUAAUUUUACAUAAAAGCAUCUUCUUGUAAUAUAUUAUAAUCUUGGCACGACAUAUUUUCAUCAUCAUAUUAUUGUACUUUGAUUGAUAAUAUAUAUAUAUAUAUAUAUAUAUUUACUUCCAAAAUUAUUUUAAAAUAAUGAAAAAGGUACUUAAAUGAAAUUAAACUUUAAUUAAAAAGAAGUUUUAGUAUUCAAUUUUUUUCAUGUAAAAUACUUUAUCUUGUGAUACUUGUUUUAUCAUGUAAUUUAAACACAUACUUGUAACAUUUUCAUACUUUUAUUUGUAUUUACUGUUAAAAUUAUUAAACAAAUUAUGAAAAUGUUUUUAUUUUAUAUAAAAAUUUACUUUUCUAUUAGUUUUAACAUUAACUUAUUUUCUUGUAAAAUGUUUCACCUCGUAAGAGUUUUUUGUUAUUUAAUUUCAACAAAAUCAAAAGCAGACUAUAUAAUUAUAUAGUACAUUUUAACAUUAAUCUAUGCAUGUUAGAAAGAAAAUCAUAUAUAUUAUCUAAAAUUUGGCAUUUUAAAGUAAAUUCCUAUUAAGUGUAACAAAUUAUAACGCCUAAUAAAACACCACAAUUUGAUAUGCAAUAAAGAAAUGAAUAAUGAAACAUAGAGGGCAAGGAAAUUCCUGAGAGUUGUCGAUUAUGAAUACUUUUAGUAAGUCGAUUCCAAGAACAGUAUAUUUGACUUUUAAAAAAAAGUUAAUUUAAAAAACAAUCAAAUCUUUGGUGUAAGUAUCAUUGUUGACUUUUUUUUAUAAGCAAAUAUUAUUUGUUAGUAAUGUUAUGUUAGUAAAUUAAUCUCUCCUCAGGAUUCGAACCGUGAAACUUAUUAUGAUUUUGAUUGGUGAAAAUAAGAUGUGAUAUGUGAGAGAUAUAGUAAUAAAUGAGGGUGUACAUGGAAUAAAUUGAGAAAAAAAUGCAUUGGGUUUGUAAAACAAUUAACCAAAGUUUUGGAAUUUAGACUAAAAUUAAUACAACAAAAGUUCAGGAACGGAGGGAGUAUUAAAGUCAAGUAAAAGCUUGCCUUUAGUUUUCACCAUGUUUGUCAUUAUAUAUUAUAUAGUCUCAAGGAGAAGUUGAGAAGCAUAGAAAGAGAUUUACCCAAACUUUAGGUUUCUAUUUUCCUCACCAAGGUUCUCAUUGGGAGGAAAAAGAAUAAUGUUAAAAAAUAGAAAAAUCCAAUAUUAUUGCUAAGAGUCAGAAUCUCAUCAUGAUUACUUAUUAAGCUUGUUGGAAAAGAAUAAUGUUAGAAAAUAGAAAAAUCUCAUUAUUGCUAGGAGUCAGAAUUUCCUCAUGAUUACUUAGUAAACUUCUCGGAAAAGAAUAAUGUUCAAAAAUUGGUUAGAUAUUAGUAAGAGUUAUGUGAAAUAUUCUUGAAAAAAGAAUAAUAAAUAAUUUUAUUUUCAUCAUGAUUACUAUAUUGAAUGAAAAAUGAAAGUCAUCUCCGUUUUAUAGGUACAACAAUUUCAUAUAAAAAUCAUCCUCCCGACGCCUCCCCAAUAACAGACUCUCCUAACGGCUUGCUCCAAUAUCUCUAUUACAAUCAAUCUUUGGUGAAUACCAAACAUCAUUUCUUUGCUGGCAGGAAAUGUAGGUUUGAAGAGCUGAGCUUUCUUAAAAACAAAUUUUGUUACUUCUAGGCUAGAAAUCAUCACUCGAGAACAACACGUGGGACUUCAACAUAGAGGCAUACCUAUAGAAAAAGGAAUACACAAUUAUAUGAUCGCAUCAUCCAAUAGCCUUUUAGUUGUAGUUAUUCCCUUGAAUGAAAUUUUCGUGUUCAUAUUCAGCUCAUGAAUCUGAAAAGACCAAAUGUUCGUUAAAUUCAAUAAUCAGGCGUCAAAGAGAAUUAAUUAGAGAAAAAAAAAACAGAUCUUUAGCUUUGCAUAGAAACGAUAUUCGUAAUUAAUAAAAAGCAUAUUUAUCAUACAUUUUAUUAGGUGGAAUUGCGUUCUAAUAUGAGAUCGAAUAAUAAGAGCAGGUAUGAAAAUUGGAAUAAAUUGAACCCAAGGACAGUUCAAGAACGGUGGAUGGCUAACUGUCUUCCAAACACCCCAACAUCAAUUGAAAGUUAUGCUAUCAAGCAGUAUGAUCAUUUUCAAAGCAAUCAUAAAUUCACAAUCAAGGCAAGAUAUUUAGUCUCUGCUGUGGAAGCAAAGGAGAGUUGUGGAUCAAAUAAAGUGAAUCAAGAAAGAAAACAGUACCAAGUUAUCAAUUCCAUGAAGAGCAUCGAAUUAGAGAAUUUUUAUAGUGCACAUAUUAUUUAAAGUAUAACACCAGAACAUCAUGCAAGUGUAUCCAACUCUAUUUCUUAAAUAUUUUGUCAGAGAGCUGCGAUGAUAAAGGAAAGGAUUUGAAAACUAAAAAAAAUAAUGAAUUUUUUUUUUAAAAAAAAAGACUGUCCAAGCAGCACUCAUAAAUUAAUCUAAAUCAAACCAUGAGCUUAAGCACAAUUCCAGAAAAGUAUAAAGCAAGGGCUAAAUUUACAUUAAUAGAAACUGUACAGAGAUAUCUUCAUCUUUAUCAAAGGGUCAUGCAUAAAACCAGACAUAAUUAUUAUGUCUAUAAAUUGCAGGUGAAGCUUGCUUUUCUUCCCCUUCACUAUUAGACUUGUUUUGGCUAGUCUCUUCAAAUUUCAGUACUGAGUGGAAAACUCCAAGGAAUGCUAUGCUAACUAUCAAAAAGAAAAAUCAGCUUAUGACUUAUGAACAUUGCACUUGGCAUGCUUACUUAACUGACAUGAGUUUAGAGGAAACACCUCACGAAAUGCAUUACAUUCUUACUUUUCUAGCAACAAAGGCCCAAAGAAAGGAUGUCCAUAACAGACUGUAUGUCAAACACUACCCAGAAAAACUAAAUGAUGCUCGAACUCAAAAUUGGUACAUCAAAUACUCAAUGCUCAAACUCAGUCACUGCUUCAACUGGUAAAAAUGAUAUAUCACACUUUAAAAACAAUAAGGGGCAGCAACACUGCAAAUAAGUAAAGCUAUCUUUAUCCAAGAGACUUCCACUAAACCAUGGAAAAAGCAAUUUCAGGGCAGGUCACAUGUCAGAGAAGGGCAUACCUAUUCUUAUAAGUUGCUGAUAUAUUGGUUAAUGUGAUGAUUCAGGUGGUAUAUUGCAUUCUUCAAAUACUUGCUCAAACAAAUGGGGGGAUAGAUCAGAUCCAUCAAACCAAAGUUGAAUAAAAGCAGGAGCGAUAAAUGAACUUGAACUAUAUGGACAGGUGAUUAGUACUCACUUCAAGAACUCGUGAAGGGAGACCGCCAAACAAUAAAAGAAAGUGAUUUGAUAUAUGUGUUUGAGUAGUAGACAAAAUCCAACCUCAGUAAAACUGAAAUACCGAAUAAUAAGAGUUAGAAUAUCUGUAAGACUUGCAAUGACAAAUGACACAAAUUUUUUUCUCAAUUCAAACUUAUACAUGAUAGUCUUCAUCAAGGAAGCAUGAAUUGUGUGUCUUUGAAAAACUUAAACCAUUGUAUAAGCUGCAUCUGAAAUAAGAGAUAAUAAUCAAAAGUACUUGAGAAGAGAAAAGUAUUGGAGUACAGAAAACCCAUACCUGAAUCGAGAAGGUCAUUAGAAACAGAAUAGCGUGUCAGAAUCGCGUGCUCGUAAUGAAACGGAGAAGGGGGCGUCGAUUAGGUUGCGGCGGCGAUUUGGAAACGGUGAUAGGGAUCGGAUGAAGGCGGAGAGGAGAAGGCGGCGAUGAGAGAAUGAGAUUGAUGAGCGAUAAGGCGAGAUCGUUGAGAGAGAACAUUUUUUAGAGAGAGAGCGCUGGAACUUGAAACUUGAAAUUUGAAAUCACACAGUGAGAGAGAAACGUGAAACUUGAAAUUUUGAGAAAGAAAGAGAAAAUGGAAAAAAAUUAAAAAUGCUGAAAAAAUGCCACGUGGAUCAUGAUGAAGAAUAGGUAUUGAAAUGCCACCUGGAAUAGUGGGACCCUGAACAAUUCCUAUUUCUAUAUAUUAUGGAUGUGAUGAGUUAAAGAAGGAGUGCCUUAGAAACUAUUUACCUUAUAUCCUUUCCUAAGUUUUUGUAUUUUAAAUUUGACUUUUUUUUAAAUACACCACCUUAAUCCUUAAGUAAUAUUUUUUCCUGCAAGAAACGAGACAAACAUUUUGGUUUGGGCAUAAAAUGGCAGAAGCGCGUCGCGUGAAAAGAAAGUCAUUACUUAUGACCGUAAACGACAUUUGUUUUGGGCAUAAAACGACAGAGGAUUAACAGAAGCGCGUCGCGUGAAAAGAAAGCACGCAAGAAGUGUGUUGCGUGAAAAGAAAGUCUCUACUCUACUUAUGACUAUAAAUGGCAUGUACAGUCAAUGCUUCCCUUUCCAAAACCCACACAAAAUCUGUCUUUACUCUUCCUCACUCACUCAUAGCAGUGCAGUGCUUCUCCGACGACCACCGAGAAUCGAGAGGAUUAUUGCGGUGGGUUCAUUGCUUCCACCGGUGGCAUCUCAUUGUCUUUCUCACUCUGAAUCGCUCUACCUCUCUACUCCUCGCUCGCCUCGCAAUGCCCAAGAAUGAAAUCCCUAAAACAUGUUGAUCGCUGCUUUCACUUAUCUCUCUGUUUCAAUCGAGUCAGGGGCUAAUGCUGCUCAAUCCCAACCCUAACAUUAGGGUUCUCGGUCUGAUUCACAAUUUCCCACCUGAUAUUCAGUGAUGGGUUUCUUGAUUUGAUAGGAAAGGAUCAAAAGAUUGGGAGCGACAACAUUGUUCUGUCACCUCGCAAGGGUAUGUAUAAUGUUGCCUCUUCACUUUUCAACACUCUUUAUUCCAUUACUUCAAGAUUCAUCCCCAGUUUCUUCUCACUGAGGGCAUCUGAUAGGGAAUCAAUAGUUGCAGAAUAGCAAGUGCAAGUAUCAAGUACGUAUUUACAUGAGAGGUCAAAGUAGUUAUAAUAGUGGCAUGAAAAGGGUAGAUUCAAUCAAGAAUUCAAAACCAGUUAUAAAAUGUAGUUGCAUUACUAUUAAAACCUUGAAAUAAAUUGUAGCAACAAUUACCACCCAAAAACCCCAACUUUACGGCUUCCACGACCAUAAUCUCUCAAUUUUGUUUUUUGUCCAUACAAAUUUCAUAUUCUCAAAUCUCAACACAAAUUAAAAAGCAAUUAUGAAAACAAAAAAGAAUGUGACCGGGGGAAAUCCGACCAAACUUAUCAGGAAGGGUAAGGAGAGAGGAGAACAGUAGGAGUGUGGAGAACGUCGAGCCGAGGACGAGGGAGGAGCGGUCUAGAGCAGAGAGAGUUAGUCCAGGAGGGUUCCUGCAAGGCACUCCGAAGCUUAAGUCAGUUCAGGUGGUUAGGUGCUAGAGCUUGGAGUAGAGUUAAGAAAAGAUAAGUUACCUUGGCCCCCAGCUGCAAAGGGCCUUUUAUAUCAGCCAGAGAGAUCAAGAUAUCUCUCAGGAUAAGCAAUGAGAACCUAGAAUCAGGGCAGUUCUCCUUCGUUAGAUUAGUCUGCAGCUCCUGCAGGUUCGAGGGAUCUUAUGGCUCAGGUGUCCUAGUAACUACUGACUAGACCUCGAGCCUAAACCCUAAUCCUUAGCCCUAGGGUGUAGGGUCAGUGAUGUGAUGUUUGAGUUGAUUCGAACCUCAUUCCCCGUCGUGGUAAGUCGUGAGCAUCCUCAUCAUAACUGCGGGGGUCGGUUGCGCGAUCGUCUUGUCCCGUGGUCGAGUGACUCCUAAACGUUCGUCCUGGUAAAGGAUGAUCGUUCGGAAACUGCGGUCGGGUUGGGCCUAUUUUCGGCCUCAAUAUCGUGGUCGGGUGCUUCAUGGCAGUUGUCCGCUUGGGCAUAUGGGGGUGGUCGGAUAUUUUCCCGACUCCCAGAACAGUAGUCCCCAACUUCUGGUCCACUGAAGUAGUGGAGCGUGAACUAAUAAGGUGCUCGUCCUUUGUCAGUCAGCAGGGGGCUAAGUCGUUUUCCCGACUCCCAAAACAGAAUGAAACUUAAAAAAUAAAAUAAAAAAAGAGAAAGGAGAAUUUCCAUAUCUUGAUUCGAAGAUCCACCUUACAUUCAUAGUUGAUAACGUAAGCCACCGUCGGGAACCGUGCCUCUGAUUCCGGUACACCUCACUCGAAUCCCCAACUGCUUCCUCUUCAGCCACUCCUCCAUCUUCAUCCACACCUUGGUAUCCAUCUGAAUUGUCACCGGGAACCUCUUCCUCCCCUCCAGCCCUGAUCUGAGACUACUCAGCGACUUCGUGUCUAGAUCCUGCUACCUGGAAAGUACUGUGCGGAGGCUCGUCUGGUUAUUCUUAGCGGACCCGAAGCCGUGAGCGACCCGUUGCCGAUUUGCACGGAAUCGGAGAAUGCGAUGAUGACAAAGGGCUCCUAGAGGAGGUGGUUGCUGGGAUUCUUCGCGAUGAGGGUGAGGUUGAAGAGCACGGUGAGGUGCGACAGCGAGUCGGCGGAGGUCGUGAGGUUGUUGAGAUUUUGCAAAGGGUCGUGUGGUGGUCAUUGGGACAGAAGGGGAGAAGAUGUUGGUGGCAUGAAAAGGAAAUUGAAAAAAAAUAAAGGUAUUGUUGUAAUUAAAAAUGUCUCACCGCAGAGGCAACCAUAUUUUUAGCAUUGCAGUGAGGGUUUUGACGAUUAGGAACAUUUCUCAAACCAAGUGAGAAAAUGCCAAUACCUCUGCGAUUUGCCAAGUUAUUGGGUAACUAAAAUUGAAUAGUCACAACUCAAGCGGUGUUGAUGCAGUUUUAGUUUGAG
rnacentral:lncRNA from 1 species